UUCGAUAUGCUAACAGGUGCUCUGGCAUGACCAUAGAGUUCUCGUUCACAAGGCCGAAGGUUACAGCAUCCAGUAUGACAGCCACACACAAGUUCAUGAAUAUGUGACUCCCGACCAAGACCAAGAAGGCGAAGAAGAUACUUCGGCCCUCUGGAUAGCCACAAUCAUAUCAAGAGUUGUAACCUGUAAAAGAAAAGCGAAACUGAAAGUGAUAAAAAAGCAAGGCUUUACCUGAAACACCGCGAUGAAAGCGUUGACGAAAGUGUGAAAGUUGACAGACGGGCCAAUGCAGGGUCCUUCCUUCAUUGCACUGAAGAGUUGGAACGCCAUCCCCGCGAACAUAUACAUGAAAAUUGCGAGAAGAGCAAGUAUCUCAGCUACCGUUGGCAAACAGAUGAACUUUGUUCGCAUGCUCCCGCUACGUGAGGAGUGAUGCAAAAAACUCAAGCAAUGUAGGCAGUGCGGCUGACAUAGCCCCUCACCGUCCCUUCUUUCCCAUGAGACCAAUGGCGGCCAUUAUGGAGAGUCCAAACUCCAUUUGCCGUGCAACCUCGUUCUUAUAGACCUUCCACUGGCGGGCAAGCGAGAUGGAGCUGGCGCUAGCGGCGGCGGCGGCGGCGGCGGCGGCGGAGGGGGCUACGAUUUCACGGUCAGGGGAUCAGUUGCCGCCGUGGAGAAAGGAAAAACCAGGUGGUCAAACAAAAAACAAUCGAGAAAAAGAUGAAUGAGGUACCUCGUUGCCAAGGAACUUCAUCACGGAUUCGAGCAGGAAAUAUGUUGUAAUCGCACAGUGAGCCAUCUGACGCCGGUCCGAAACAACUGCCGACUGGCCAGCAUAGUUAGUUGCAAGUAGCCUGGAGUAGCCAAGGAGUGCGAGGAUCAUGCACUUUUGAUAUGUCAGAUUGCGAAUCAAGUAGAAGCACAUCCCUCGGAUGGGAUUGCUUGGUCGUUGAGCCAUCGGAAUAGCAUCAGUUCUCUGGAUGAUACGGUUCAUGUCCCUCCACAGCUUCUGCCUCUCUGUGAGAAGAACUGCUCCAGAAUUUUUUCCAAACUCGUUGAUAAACACCCCGAUGAAAACUCUGACGAUAUAAAUCCCCCAAUACAGCAGAAUGCCACAAAAAACAAGGCGUUGACAGGACUCGCGUUCCGAACAGGCUGGUGGUCUUCCCUAGUGAUGUACAUGACAGGAUACAUGAAGUGCAUCAGCCAGUUCUCGAAAGUGGAGCAGACGAACAUACUGAGCAGGGCAUUCUGAAUGUUGUCGAAGUGGAAAACGUUAUUAACCCAGGUUCGCGGAGCAAGGAUUCCGAUGUCAUUAACAUAGAGGCCAGCACAAUAUGCUCGGUGUGUGAUUGUCGGGUCAUUGCAUUUCCAGAGAAGGCCCCGAAACUGCUGCAGCCCGAUGGUUCCAAAUAUUAGGAGAAUUGAAAAUGUGAAGAGAAUAACUGACACAAUUGCUGGAAUAGUCCGAAAAAGAUUUGAUAAUAAUGACCUCAGUCCUGUAAACCGAACCACGAAACGAAAUGACCGAAGAGAAGUAAACACGGUUGGUAUGGAAGUUUCAUCCUCAGCGUUAUACUUCAGAAGAAUAAGCGCAUCAGUGACGAGAAUAAACAAGUCCAAGAUGUUGAACCAGUUACUCAGGUACGUGUCUGGCGCAAAAACAAGUCCCUGUGCAACGAUCUUCAUAGCAAAAAGACCUGCUCCAGAACAAUGUACAAUGUCGAGCAAAAUAAGAUAAGCAUGUGCUUAGCACAAAGUUGAUCUUCUGUAAACUCCAGAUGAAAUCGGGGACAAUUAUCGGCUCUCCAUCAUCUCCCAUCUCAACUACGAGUCAAGUAUUGAUGACCAUCCAAACUAUCACAAACCACAAGUACGGUUUACUGCCGAGGAUCUUCCUAGACAGGAUCCUUAUCGUGUUGAUAGAAGAAGCGACCCUUCUCGCAAGUACCAUGGUCUCUGUAUGGUUGUAUGAGUUCUCUCGAGCUCUUCGUACUCCGACAGCUGGAAAGAUUUCCUGUUGCUAGAGGCCCUGCUUAGAUUUCUCCCAAUUUUUGGACUACUGAGAAUCUUGACGAUCUUGAAGUGCGGUUCUUGAACCCCUCUUUUCACCGAUAUUAGAGGGAAAACCAGAAACCUGUAAAACUUGGGAAGAACGCCUGUGACGCGACGGCAGUGCUUCAGAAGACUCUGCAGCUGGAACGACCGAUGAUGGGGCCUCUAAAGCGGAUCCAGUAGUACCCCCAUCAGCCUUAGUUACUGCCGGGCGUUGACGACCCUGGGACCCCUUCUCUCUUAGCCUGGCUUUAACCGGUCUUACGUGAUCUUUGACGCUUAACAUGCGAGUUGUCAUCCGUGACAAACCUUUCAUUCCUUCUACCGCGCCCACAACCCAGCUUCCGCUUCUUGUGAGUGCCUGACUUUGCAUUCUCUUGAUGAACUUCAUGUGUUCCAUCUGAAAGAAAAUAGUUCAGUUCUCAUUUUUUACCUCACUCACCCAUUGGAUUCGCUUCUUCUGGUUGUCAGUAAGCUCGUUUCUCUUGAGCAAGACAGCAAUGAUAAGAUUCAUAACGACGUAAACUGUCACGACGAAGUAAAAGACGUAUAAAAACGGUGCCACUACGCUGCAAACACGAAUGCGUCAAUACUAGAGAUACUUGAGUGACUGCUUACUUAUAUUGAACUCCAGGUCGCAGGGAAUUCCACAUUUGGUUUAGCCAGGAUGGUUACCGUAAACCAGACGAGCAUGGCUUCCAGUAUGGAAUCAUGAUUUCCUCGCAGAUACUCUUCAGGAAAGCUGUAAUACUGUCCACUGUACAAUUCCAUGCUGAUGAUAGAGAUUGCUAUGAUAACCAGAAGAAAAAAGGAAAAAAACCCCGCCAAAGAGCCAACACUUUCCAUGCAUUCCUCGCAGAUACUCUUCAGGAAAGCUGUAAUACUGCCCAUUGUACAAUUCCAUGCUGAUGAUAGAGAUUGCUAUGAUAACCAGAAGAAAAAAGGAAAAAAACCCCGCCAAAGAGCCAACACUUUCCAUGCAAGUAGCCUGUAUCACGUACUAAAAUCAAUCAAAGUGAAUGCAGCAACUCACCACUACACUGGGAUGUUUUGCAACAUACUUCUUUGAAGAGUAAAACCACCGCAUGAUUGUUAAAUUUGGAAACGAAUGAGAACAAUAGAUAUCAUAACGAUUAUCAAGUCCAGCAAAUUCAUUCCUGGAAAUUUAAGGAUCAGACCAGAAGACAACCGGAAACAAUGUACUCACCGUGGCAAAAAAUAUCGCCAGGACCGUACCCUAGAAAGUACAGCAGAAGUUCCGCGCUAAAAGAAAAAAGCAUUACUGCUUGCAACCCGUCUGCAUACAAAAUUUAUCAGAUGAAUGAACAGAAAGGAAGUCGUGAAAUGAAUACCGAGCGUAUGCAACAACCGUUUUGACAUGCCAUACUUGAAGGACGAUAAGAGCACAAUGUUAUCAAUGUCUUAUUGGCUCGCUGCCCUUCAGCAUCCUUCACAUCAUGCAUGACGAGGCUCCAUCCUUCCACAAUUAUCACCUGCAGAGUGACCACUUUGAAGUGUGCUAAAGGCGAUAAGAUGCUAUGAAGUGACACAAACCUGAAACAUGGUAAGCAGCGAAUACCAGAGAUAAUCAAAAGUUGUCGCGGAUUCUGGUAUGUCUACAAACAAAAAGAUGGAUAAGGAAUGAGCUUAUAGGAAAAACUCACCAUACAGUUCUGAAAUGGUGGACAUACGUAGCCGCCAGCAGCUUUUUUGUCACAAAAGCGCAUGGGAUAAGCAAGUUGCUUGUCCGCUGUUCGAAAGCACCUGCCCAAGAGGAUUUUGAUUUCACGUGAUAAGAACUAUCAAGAUUACCUUUGAUUCAUCGAGCUUUGCAAGAACUGCGUGCCGAGUAGAGAAUAGAAAACCAACAGAAAAAACGUCAAAAGGAUAACGUUUUGGAGAGGACCAACGCUCUUUUUCACGGCCGCCGUGAUGGCCUAUUGUCAAGUGUUAACAGUGCACAGAUCAGCCGAAAGGAGAUUUACAAACCAUACUAUGACAUCGGCAAAAAAUGAGACGUGCUUCAACGCUAGCAGGCCCCGAAACACGCGGAACACGGCUGUCCGCGCGAAAAAAUCAUGUCCAGUUAUGCACCUCCCAAAGAGCUGGGGAAACACUUACGACCAUCAAGUACAAAAGCUCAACAUUACCAGGAAUCGAAAACAAUGACAAAGUCGAGCCUAUGGAUUCCACAUGUAGCAGUGACGACCUCUGGUAAAACCAAGAGCCGAAAUUUGUAAAACCAUUUCAAUCCUGCAAACACAAGUGUGAGGAGAAACAAGGAUGGUAAACUUCUAUCCAUGUACUGAUUGUAGAGAAGCCUAAAAAUGUAUAAGCGUGACGGGCUGUAGAGGCCACAAAUUCCAAGCGCAGUGCCCUCCAUUCUUGCUCCAGUCCUGACAGCACUCCGCCUUGCCUUUCUUCCAAUAUUCUAGAAACAGAACAUAAGAACUCUCCAAAGUCAAAAGAAGUGAAGUUACCAUGAGCCUCUUGAUCGCAGUGUAAGCCCUCUUGCAGUUCUUGGUUGCCCGGGAAUCGGGAAUCGCUGGGGCCAGUUGAUCCAGUGCGGCAAUCAAUGCGGCAGAUAAAGACGAUGACACUGCUCGGUCGCGAUCCGGUGCUCCUUUGCUCAAUCGGAGGCAGCCAUGUCGGAUGCGGAGCUAUGAAAUCGUGAUCUUCUUGCGGGACGGGAUCACUGCAAGAAGUAUUUCCAGGCGAUCGAUCAAUCACUAGCUAAGCUACAUUAUGCCUCUCAGAAAACUACUCAAACAUGCAUUCAACCAUGACAAAAGUUAAAAUAGAGUUCAGCGAACAGGAGAGAUAAAAGUUUCCAUUGUGUCGUACGAGCCGUUAUAGGACAUCCUGAUGUAGAGGGCGAUCGUCAUAGCUUGCGUCGCCGCCUCAGAGCGCUCAUCCACCGGCGAACUCCCUCCGCCAAGAGCCCCCUAAUCCAAAAACGCGUGAUACCAUAAUAGCCUUUUCUCCUUGCGAUCGUUUUUGUUUCACAGAAGGAAGAAUAAAGUAUAGGAGAAAAAACUCCUCUGCAUUGAUAGCUUGGAUCGUAUAACUGCCUGUAGUUCCAAGCCUGACAGACGUAGUUCCCAUGCAGCCGGAGCUUUCUCAGCUGUGCAGCAUUUGGUCCGAGAGUGCUUGGCCACAAAACUCGAGCUCCAAAGCCUGAAAGUAAAAAUGAGAGUGCUUGGCCACAAAACCCGAGCUCCAAAGCCUGAAAGUAAAAAUGUUAUGCAUUAUAUGCUUUAUUUCGUUAAAGUGGGACUUAUUCAGUAAAGUGGGACAUUAAUUAGCAUGUGUUCACAUGCCAUUUCCUAGUACUUAAUUAAUAUUUAUUAAUAUUUCUAUCAGUUUUUUAAUUUAUUUUUUUAUAUUUCACAAUAUUAUAACACAAAAUCAUAUGAAAAGUUUUUAAUUUAUAAAUUAUAAAGUUAAAAUUUCAAUUUUUUAUUGUUGUUAUAAAAAUGGCAUGUGGCCACACACCAUAAGUGGGAUAAUGAAAAGUCCCACUUUAACGAAAUAAAGCAUUUAUAGGCUUGAAGAGAGAGAGAGUAACCUGGACUCCAUCGAGGGGAGAGUUCUCCAUCAGCUCGGUGAACUCCUGCUCCAACAUUUGCUGCAAUCCGGAAGUUUCUGCGCUGCCUUGCUACAAGCUCUUAUAGCUUGGACGUAAUGCACCGCUUUAAAGCCUUGCGCUCCCCUUCCAAGCGACGUGAUCGAUUUUCUGGCAGAGAGAACAGCGAAAGAGGGCCAAUCUAUGUCGGGAGAAGCAGUCCCUGAUGGUUCCCACUGGAUGAUCUUUGGAGGCGGUGGCGCUUCCGCAAGAUCAUCCAUGAUAUCCUCGUCGCCGUCAAUCUGAGCUCUUCUUUGUUGUCGGCGUUGUACCGCCCAUAGAGCCGAGCAGUCUCAUCUCGCUCUAGCAUCGCCGCAUACAAACAUCGUUCCAAUGCUGCGUAGAACAAACGGAUUGAGCGCACGCCUCGGCACAAGCAUCCAAAUCCGAGACCCCACACAAAGUGACGCACGAAUUGGGCGUCACAUCCUUUGCAAAGCUGCCCACUCGCUUCAUCAUCCGAUCCGAUGCGCACACACGCUUGCAAGCGAAUCGAUCCUGGGAAUCCAAAUCCUCCUGCUGCUGCUCACUCUCAUCAAGCGAUGAUUGCUGGCGCCGCCAUCUCUCCGCAAUGCCACCGCCGCCGGAUCAUCGUGGCGGAGCCUGUGAUUCCCAGUAACCCUACGGCCUCCUCCUUGCCCCUAGGGUGUAGAUUAUAUUACGCUAUGUGGAUACAAGGAAAGAAAGAAUAUCCACUUGCUAAUUGUCGAAAAUUCACUUUUAGUUGCUACGGUUAGACGGUUGUUUUAAAGCAAUGCCAGACCGAAUCGUGCCAAACCCGAGAAAGGAUAAGAGCCUCACGUCACAUAGCUAGACAACGCUCUUAAAGAAUUUUAGGCCCCUUUUUUUUCCACACUGGAGCACGGUGUCAAUGGGAGUCGAACCCGCGACCGUUGCUAAUAGCUGUCAGGAUUCGAACCCGCGAUGUUCUCCAAAGGCGGUAGAAUGGUAAACCCGGUUGGACACGGCGGAUCAACAACGCGCAGAUCAACAAGGUCCCAUCGAUCCAAUCGAGCCUCUGGAAGUGUCCAGGAGAAGGACAUUUGCUCCACGCGUCCAACUACAUGACUGCCAACCUGGAGACCACGUGACGACGUAAGAACUGUGCCAUUUUAGCUGAAGCGGACACGAUUUUUCGAUCAUGGAGGUUGUGAGCGGCUUGGUGAGGCCGCUGUGUGUCUUGGGUAUGGACGCUGCCAAGAAGGUAUGGGACUGCAAUGCCAACAUUGAAAGGCUGGAGAAUGCCAUGGCACCCCACAUCCAGGCCAAGAUCAAAGCUUUCAGUGAGCACAAGGAGCGAAAUGGACCUGGCUUUAUGUUCUCUGAAGCGGCUCCCUCUCGCUCUGGAAGUGAUUGGCAGUGCCAUGGCUGUCCACAGAAGUGAAGGGCCACAUGUGUGGGAAGAACGAUAUAAAAGGUUGCACUUGUCCAAUGAUCCAGACGUUGAGAAGCAGAUGUUCAAGCGCUUGAAGUUCAGCUAUGACGAGCUGGGAAACUAUGAGGGUGAAAAGCUGCAAGAGUGCUUUCUCUAUGUGGCCGCAUUCCCAGAAGAUAGGUGGAUUGGGUUUACUGAGUUGAGGAACUGUUGGAUGGAGGUUGGGUCAGAACUCUCACCCACAGCGAUUGUCAAUGAACUGGAACGGAGAUGCCUGGUGAAGAUAUCUAAGUCUUGGAGGGAUGAAGAAGCUCCUGGUUAUAUAACAGUACACGAUAUGCUACGCAAACUGUGCAUAAGAAUCUUAAAAGGGAAGUACAGCCCACAGCAAGAGCACGAGAAGGGAUGCCUGUUUGGAUAUGAGUGGACAAGUGGCAUUCAGGAUGCAACAUUUGCUAAAGUCUCACUCAUCUCAAAGAAUGUUGGCAGCUUUCUAUCCGAUAAUCAUGUGCGAGAUGUCUUACUUCUGGAUGAGUGUGAAGGACUUUCUAAUGUGGAUGACAGUCUUAUCGAUCACAUACAAGGUGUCAAGGUAUUGAGCUUGUGGCGAUGCUAUGAGAUCCGUUUUAUUCCAGAGAGCAUUUCCAAGCUGAAAAACCUUCAACUGCUUGACAUUCGAGAAACAGGAGUGAGUCAAUUACCAGAUGCGCUUUUCAGCCUGACAUCACUGAAAUAUCUAAAAUCUACUCAGUGGAUGCCGAUAAAAUGUAACAUUGCAUUACUGCCCCAGCUCUCCAACUUGGAAGAGCUGGAGCUGAACGUUGAUUCAAAAGAGGACCCCUCAGUUGUGGAUUUCACUGGAAUUUCGCGUAAACUAAGACUUCUAGAGCUAAGAAUGAUAGAUGGUACAAUGAAGGUUCCAGAAAGCAUGGGGAAGCUGGAGCACAUUGAAACAUUGGAUUUACAUGCGAAGUGCAUCGACUUUGUCAGUAUCGUUGGGCUAUGGGAACUUGUCAGCCUAACAACUUGUAAAAUUUGUGUGCAAUCCGUUAGUAGAGCUCCCUGGAAGCGAAUGUUUAAGAAAUCAAUCAGGCUUAAAGUUUUUUCCAUUACUGGGGUAGAAGACAGUGAAAAUAAUGAUGACACCUUCGAAUGGUUGCAACUACGAUAUUUAAAAAUCCGUGAUAUUAUAAACCUAUCUUGGUUGCCCCACCGCCUAGAAACACUUGAAAUUGACUGCAGUGGUAUCCACUUGUUCAACCUGGAUGGAUCAUUCCCACGUCUUGAAAAGCUGUAUCUUACUCAUCUACACAUUGCACAGUCAGAAUUCAAGGAUGAUUUGGCUGCCAGUCUUCCAAAUCUGAAGCAGUUGGACUUUUGGCUAGCUCCUGAUAUUGAAUGGGAGCACUUGCCUCUCUUUGUGGCACAGCUCCCCAAUCGCCCCGAGAGUCUGAAACUAACGGGUUGCAUAAAGAGACUGUUGUUGCCAACCGAGAGGUCGUCACUUCAGGUUAAAGAUGUUUUCGUAUCGAGCAAGAAGAUGCAAAAUGAUUUCUUUGAGCCAUCAGAUCAAAUGACUGAUAUAGAAACUGUGACGUUGAGCUGUAAUGAGACUAUCGUUCCAUCGUCCAUUGCAUCGCUGCCAUGUUUGAAACGUCUUCACAUUUCGGGGCGAAGCGUGAUACAUAACGAUGCACUGUGGUCCCACAAUCACAGCCAGGGCGCAUUUCCCAGGCUGGAAGAGCUACACUGCCCGAAAGGCAUGAAAAUUCCACCUUGGCUUGAGGACCGCCCCAAUCUCAAGAACAAAGUUUUAAUUUCCAAAGCGUUUUGGUAUCGGAACGCCUGUAGUUCGACUUAUUGCUCCUCUAAAUCAAUAUAUAAAACAAUGCGACCGUCUUCCACCACGUCCCUGGCAAUCUCUAGCACCUCGGGUUUGCUCCUUGUCGAUUCCAAUUCUUGUUGAGCUGCACAGCAGCACCUCCUUUGCCAGCAGCACCUCCUUUGCCGGCUCUUAUCCUCGCCAGGAAACCUCUCACGAGAGCCUGCAUUUUCGUCGCAGCGCCCUGGAUGUACACGGCCUGGAUCCGCUUCUCACGCUCGAUGCGCAGAGUGAGAGGCAACCCCUGCAUUAAUCCGGGUCAAACGUAAGUAUGAAAAGCUUGGAAUAGCAGCUACUUAACAGUUGUCCGAUCUUAUACAGCGUCAGCAUUUCCAGCAGUUCCUUGAAAGGGAUUCCUUUGUUUGGAACUCAAAAACUCAUCACCUCGUACUCUACUCUCAUGUACCUGACCAGAACAAAGAAAAAACGAGUGAGAGACAGAGAGAGAUUGCGAGGAACAUGCGAAACCAUUGGGUCGCGUAUUUGUAGCGCCGGCCCAGCGGAUCACCGAGGGCGUUUACAAAUCGUCGCAGCUUGUGCAUCCCAAUGUAUCCCGUAGCACUGGACGAUUGUAAAGUUAGUUCCACAAGGACUUGAACGUAAUUAAGUGGCUUACUUGGGAUCGAAUGGUUCUUGGGUCCACAAGUUUCGAUAUGCUAACAGGUGCUCUGGCAUGACCAUAGAGUUCUUGUUCACAAGGCCGAAGGUUACAGCGUCCAGUAUGACAGCCACAAACAAGUUCAUGAAUAUGUGACUCCUGACCAAGACCAAGAAGGCGAAGAAGAUAAUCCCGCCCUCUAGAUAGCCAUAAUCGAGCUUGAAAAGAUAUGGUUUAAGUCGAUACUAUUGUGCUAAGCUUUGUUUUCCUUUGAAAAACUACCUAAGCUGUUUAGUUUGGCAAAUCAUCGCCGAGUAGUGUUUUACCGUUUGUGCAGGCGGGUGCAUCAAUUGUGGUAUCCAUCAUAACGCAAGACCAGUUAUCAAGAGUUGUAACCUGUAAAAGAAAAGAGAAACUGAAACUCAUAGAAAAGCAAGCCUUUACCUGAAACACCGUGAUGAAAGCGUUGAUGAAAGUGCGAAAGUUGACAGACGGGCCAAUGCAGGUCCCUUCCUUCAUUGCACUGAAGAGUUGGAAUGCCAUCCCCGCAAACAUAUACAUGAAAUUGCGAGAAGAGCGAGUAUCUCAGCUACAGUUGGCAAACAGAUGAAUAACCCAUGCUCUCGCUACGUGAGGAAUGAUGCCAAAAACUCGAGCAAUGUAGGCAGUGCAGCCGACAUAGUCCCCUCACCGUUCCCUUCUUUCCCAUGAGACCAAUGGCGGCCAUUAUGAAGAGUCCAAACUCCAUCUGCCGUGCAACCUCUUUCUUAUAAACCUUCCACCGGAGAAAGGAAAAACCAGGUGGUCAAACAAAAAACAAUCGAGAAAAAGAUGAAUCAGGUACCUCGUCGCCAAGGAACUUCAUCACGGAUUCAAGGAGGAAAUAUGUUGUAAUCGCACAGUGAGCCAUCUGACGCCGGUCCGAAACAUCUGCCGACAACCCAGCAUAGUUAGUCGCAAGUAGCCCGGAGUAGCCAAGGAGUGCGAGGAUCAUGCACUUUUGAUAUGUCGGAUUGCGAAUCAAGUAGAAGCACAUCCCCCGGAUGGGAUUGCUUGGUCGUCGAGCCAGCGGAAUAGCAUAAGUUUUCUGGAUGAUACGGUUCAUGUCCCUCCACAGCUUCUGCCUCUCUGUGAGAAGAACUGCUCCAGAAUUUUUUCCAAACUCGUUGAUAAACACCGAUGAAAACUCUGACGAUAUAAAAUCCCCCGAUACAGCAGAGUGCCACGAAAAACAAGGCGUUGACAGGACUCGCGUUCCGAACAGGCUGGUGGUCUUCCCUAGUGAUGUCCAUGACAGGGUACAUGAAGUGCGUCAACCAGUUGUCGAAAGUGGAGCAGACGAACAUACUGAGGAGGGCAUUCUGGAUGUCGUCGAAGUGGAAAAUGUUAUUAACCCAGGCUCGCGGAGCAAGGAUGCCAAUGUCAUUAACAUAGAGGCCGGUACAAUAUGCUCGGUGCGUGAUCCUCGGGUCAUUGCAUUUCCAGAGAAGGCCCCGAAACUGCUGCAGCCCGAUGGUUCCAAAUAUCAGGAGAAUUGAAAAUGUGAAGAGAAUAACCGAAACAAUUGCUGGAAUAGUCCGAAAAAGAUUUGAUAAUAAUGACCUCAGUCCUGUAAACCGAACCACGAAACGAAAUGGCCGAAGAGAAGUAAACGCACCGACGGUUGGUAUGGAAGUUUCAUUCUCAGCAUUAUACUUCAGAAGAAUAAGCGCAUCGGUGACGAGAAUAAACAAGUCCAAGAUGUUGUACCAGUUACUCAGGUAUGCGUCUGGCACAAAAAUAAGUCCCUGUGCAACGAUCUUCAUCAAACAGUCUAGCAAAAAGACCUGCUCCAAAACAAUGUACAAUGUCGAGCAAAAUAAGGUAAGCAUGUGCUUACCACAAAGUUGAUCUUCUGCAGAUUCCAGAUGAAAUCGGGGACAAUUAUCGGCUCUCCAUCAUCUCGCAUCUCAACUACGAGCCAAGUAUUGAUGACCAUCCAAACUAUCACAAACCACAAGUACGGUUUACUGCCGAGGAUCUUCCUAGACAGGAUCCUUAUCGUGUUGCCCUCUCCAAACAGAAGAAGCGACCUUCUCGCAAGUACCACGGUCUCUGUAUGGUUGUAAGAGUUCUCUCGAGCUCUUCAUACUCCGCAAGCUGGAAAGAUUUCCUGUUGCUAGAGGCCCUGCUUAGAUUUCUGCCAAUUUUUGGACUGCUGAGAUGGUAAGCAGCGAAUACCAGAGAUAAUCAAAAGUUGUCGUUCCAUGGUUGGGAUUCUCGUAUGUCUACAAACAAAGAGAUGGCUAAGGAAUGAGCUUAUAGAAAAAAACUCACUAUACAGUUCUGAAAUACGUAGCCGCCAGCAGGUUUUUUGUCACAAAAGCGCAUGGGAUAAGGAAGUUGCUUGUCCGCUGUUCGAAAGCACCUGCCCAGGAGGAUUUUGAUUUCACGUAAUAAGAACUAUCGAGAUUACCUUUGAUUCAUCGAGUUUUGCAAGAACUGCGUGCCGAGUAGAGAAUAGAAAACCAACAGAAAAAACGUCAAAAGGAUAACGUUUUGGAGAGGACCAACCCUUUUUCACGGCCGCCAUUGUAAAGUGUUAACAAUGCACAGAUCAGCCAAAAGGAAAUUUACAAACCAUACUAUGCCAUCGGCAAAAAAUGUGACGUGCUUCAACGCUAGCAGGCCCCGAACGUCGAGCCUAUUGUACGGAUUCCGCAUGCAGCAGUGACGACCUUUGAUAAAGCCAAGAGCCGAAAUUCGUAAAACCAUUUCAUUCCUGCAAACACAAGUGUGAGGGGAAACCUCGAAGAGGGAAACAACGAUUACGUAUAAAGCGCCGUGAUGAGCCCGUCCAGGAAAUCGAUGUUGAAACUCCGGACGUGUGUCCAUCGUUCGUGCCUAGACCCAGCCAUCGCUUGGAAGAUAAGCACUACCAUAUGGGAGCAUAUAAGAAACACAAGAACAUACUCGGCUCUCCUGCCACCAAAGCCUGUUAGAGGAAGGAUGCUAAACUUCUAUCCACGUACUGAUUGUAGAGAAGCCUGAAAAUGUAUAAGCGUGACGGGCUGUAGAGGCUCCAAAUUCCAAGCGCAGUGCCCUCCAUUCUUGCUCCAGUCCCGACAGCAGUCCGCCUCGCCUUUCUUUUUAUAUUCUAGAAACAGAAAAUAAGGACUCUCCAAAGUCGAAAGAAGUAAAGUUACCAUGAGCCUCUUGAUUGCAGUGUAAGCCCUCUUCCAGUUCUUGGUUGCCGGGGAAUCGGGAAUCGCUGGGGCCAGUGCGGCAAUCAAUGCGGCAGACGAAAAUGAUGACGCUGCUCGGUCGCGAUCCGGCGCUGCUUUGCUCACGCCAUGAAUCGGAGGCAGCUGAUCCUCCCAUGUCGGAUGCCGAUCUUAGAAAUCGUGAUCUUCUUGCGGGACGGGAUCACUAGAAGAAGUAUUUCGAGGCGAUCGAUCAAUCACUGCAUCAGCUAAGCUACAUUAUGCCUCCGGCGCCUGUGAGCUUCGUCAUAGCUUGCGUCGCCGCCUCGAGAGCGCUCAUCCGCCGGCGAACUCCCUCCAUGGCCGUCACCGCCAAGAGCCCUAAAUUCAAACUACCUAAUCCAAGAACGCGUGAUCCAAGGGCGGCAUUUUGGCCACGAGAGCCUUUUGUCCUUGCGAUCGUUUUCGUUUCACAAAUUUGUGAAGAACACAGUAUAGGAGAAAAAAUUUCUCUGCAUUGAUACCCUCAUGAUCUUAGACACUCGCUCUGGCAUCGCCGCAUACAAACAUCGUUCCAGGGACGUGAUGCUGCGUAGAACAAACAGAUCGAGCGCAUGCCUCGGCACAAGCAUCCAAAUCCGAGACCCCACACACAGUGACGCACGAAUUGGGCGUUACAUCCUUUGCAAAGCUGCCCACUCGCUUCAUCAUCCGAUCCGACGGGAAUCCAAAUCCUGCUGCUGCUGCUUGCUCUCAUCGAGCGAUGACCGCCGCCGCCGCCAUCUCUCCGCAAUGCCACCGCCGCCACUCUUGCCGCUCUUGCCGCGCCGGUACCGCCGGAUCAUCGUGGCGGAGCCUGUGAUUCAAGCUUGCUCCGCGUAUAUUCUGGUGUGUAAAGUAGAUUUUAUUUUGGCAAAUUGUCAAAGAGUUAUCAUCUGCGAUAAAAUACCAGCUUUUGCCCAUAUCCGCGCCAUGUAGCAUGUCGCCCUCUCUCGUUCGUUCGUAUUGCUUUCCAAUAUACAGGAAAGAAAGAAUAUCCAAGUGGAGCUCCCCCCCGUUGCGCCUCCUCCUGAGUCACUCUCUCUCCGCUUACUUGGCAGUGAUGUGGCAUCCUUCUUUUUGUUUUUUCUCCAGCGCACUCCCUCUCCCGUCCGUCGCCGCUGUGCACGCCCUCACGACUCCCGCCUGCACUCCCACCCGCCCUUGCACGCCCAGCGUGCGCCCUAAUUACUUCCACGUGGCCACAGUCCCGACACUUAGCCAAAUUUCAAUCAGCGCGCUCUGUUCCACCCAUAAUUGACCUAAAAACGUUUCCAUUCACACUGGAUAAUUGACUUAAAAGUGUUUUUGUUUCUUUUAUGAUCAAGCAUGGCAGCAACAUCAAUUUCCAGAGGUAAGCAAUUAAUUCAACUUUAUAUUGAUUCAAGAAAAUUAUUUAAGAUCCCCCAUAGCUUGAUGAGGUGCAAGAAUUCUAUGAAAAGGAUUUUUUUUUGCAGAGAUUUAGAUUGGAAUUUGUCUAAAUCAAAUGAAAUUAUAACUCCUAUUGUGUAUAUAUUACAGAAGGAUAUGAACAAGUUUCUAGAUAGUGAGAGGAGAAAGGGUGAUGGAGUGGAUUUUUGAUGAUUUUCCAACAAAAAUCAUGAUCUUGGAAAUUUGAAAUGACCCAAAAACACAAACUUUUUAUCAUUAAUUAGGUAUAUUUUUUUACAAAACAUAAUUACAAACUUCUUAACACAGGUAUUGGUGUAAAUAUGAAAAACAAGAUGCUUGUGAAACAUUCUCUACAGUUGUUGAAUCUACAGAAAAGUCAAGACUUGGAAGUAGAGGUCAAAGUUCUAACAAACAAGAUCAAUUUACAUAGGAAGUAUUCACUUUUAACUUAUCGACUACAUGAGAAUGACGCAUAAAGUGUAUGUAUUUGGAAGAACACAAAUCUCGAGAAAGUAUUUGUCUAUCAAAAAGGUGAUCGAUGUAAAGAUUGUUUUACCAUUGGGAUUCAGACAACUUGGCAACUACAAAAGAUGGUGGACUUUGCAAAUAAUAAUUUAUUGAGUCUUGAUGCAACUUUUGGAAUUAAUCGCUACAAAGUAAAAUUUUCAUUUAUUUUUAAGUGAAUAAUAAUUAAUAAUUUACAGUUCCCAUUAUACAUCAUGCUUGCUUUUGAUUAUUAUGGAAAUGGUAUUCCAAUUGCAUGGGUUUUAACUUUUAGUGAGAAAGGAGAACAUAUAAAGAAUUGAAUGAUAGCUUUUAAAAAAUGAGUUUUAAAACACAUGCCAAAUUGGAAACCAUGUGCAAUAAUGAUUGAUGAUGUUGAAGUAGAGAUUAAUGCUAUAACGUAAUUAAUUUGAUAUGAUAUUAUUUAUUUAUUUUUCUUUUAUAUAGAGCUACAUUUGAUUGUCAAAUUCUAUUAUAUAUUUGACAUGUAAGGAGGAAUUGGCUCAAACAUAUUAUUCAUAAAGUGAAAUUUUGGGAUAUUAGGAUGGAAAUAUAAAAAUGUCUCAGAGAUAUUAUGUAUCAUUCAAUUCACGCAGCUUUUCAUGAUGAUAAUAUUAUGUGAGCUGAGAUUAAACAAUUUAUCGAACAUUUUGAGGUGGAUUUUCAAAAUGAAAUAGCCUUUAUCAAGUAUUUUCAAGAUGAAUGGAAGGACAAAGUUGGUAAGUGAAUCAAUAUUUUGAUUUUUAUAAUUUAUUUUAAUUUAUAUUUGAUAGAUACAUGGGUUGUUGCUGUUUGAAAUUUCCCUCAUACUUACAAGGAGACAAAUAGUUUGAUUAAGGCAUUCCAUGCAAAUAUGAAAGUUGCUCGCAGAUUGGGCAAUUCAUCAACUUAUUACUAAGGUUUAUAUAAGGUACUGGUUUACUAGUUAUUGCAAAGAUUAUGGUUUUAUUUGAAACCAUGCAUAUGAAAAGCUAAUUGAUGGUGCAAUUGUUAAAGCAAGAAAUAUCAACGACUCUCAAUGGGGUCAUUUAUAGGGCAACUAUCCAGUGUGAAUGGAAAUGUUUUUAAGUCAUUAUAGAUGGAACUCGGUGAUUGAAAUUUGGCUAAGUGUUGGGGCUGUGGCCACGUGGAAGUAAUUAGGGCACAUGUUGGGCCGCGGGUGGGAGUGUGCAGUGGCGACGGACGGGAGAGGGAGUGUGCUGGAGAAAAAACAAAAAGAAGGCCUAAUGCCACAUCACCACCAAGUAAAUGGAGAGAGAGUGAAUCAGGAUAGUGUUUAAUGGGAGGCAUCGUUACUGUGCACUUCUGCCUGCCCACUCACCCUCACAGCUCCCGCUUCCCACCCGCCCCCACAUGUCGGCUUGCACCCAGCAUGCGCCCUAAUAACUUCCACAUGGCCAUAGCCCUAACACUUAGCUAAAUUUCAAUCAGCGAGUUCCACUUAUAAUUGACUUAAAAAUUGUCGUGAAUGUGAUUUCGGGUAUCGAAAGUACCUGUCGACUAGUCCUUUCGGAUACUCUUUCCUUACUGCCAUGACGGCAGGAGGUCAGUAUUGUUGGACCCUUUAUCAAUCCCUCUUGUGCUAGUGGAGUUAACUAGGCAUUUCGAGUGUAUUUAGACCGGACGAGCAUAAGGAUGGAAUUCUUACGUGUUAUUAGCUAAACAUACUUAGCCCAGUAAGGAGUUCCCAUUUCAUUAUGUUUUGCACUGGCUAGUGACAAGAACCCUUACGUAUUGAGAUUAGUCCCUUAAUAUCACUAGAUGAUAGCUUACCAUGUCUAUUAAACACCUUUGCUAUCAUGCCCUUUGUGUUAGUCUCAAUUCGGUCCCAAAUGCUAUUUAUGGAAAGUGUCUAGAUUUGCUCAUUUGGCAUAUCUACAGAAUGUAGAGAUUGGCCUGAACACAAUGGUAUUCGUCCUGUGUCCAAAUUCGCAAUUUAAUGCCAUUCUAUAUUUCGUAAGUUUCAAGCUUGUCCCAGAGAGUAACUCUUGGUACUAAGGGUGGCUUGGGGUGAAGCCCAAAGUGUAUGUUCCUCAAGGGGAAGGGGGUGGGGGCCUAUGGGGGGUAGUAAGGAUAGUGUAUAGUAAGGAUAGUGGGUAUGUCGGGUAUGGCCGACCAACCUGAGGCAUAGUUUAGCUCCCGCUUGCGUGCCUGUUUUUGUUCUGCGUUUGGCUUGGGUUUAAGCCCAAGUUUCAUUUCAUGCUAGCUAAUGGAGUACCCAUGUCCUCAUGUUAGGCCACUAGUAUGCUGAAAUAGCGCCAGACUCCGUUUGGCUCCAUUUUGCAUGCUAGUCUUGGCAUUAGGAAGCUGGUUACUCUAGGACUGUUCCAAGUCGCUCUGGGCUCUCGUCCCUUUGCUCCUUGGGCUAUAUGCUCAGGUGUUACUCUAUGGUCCUCACUCCUUGGCUCCAUGCUUGGGAGUUUGGCACCGUUCCUUCGUUCAGUGGCCCAAGCCCUUGAACCUCGGGUUCCACACCACGUUCCUUUGGACACAUGGCAUGUGACACAUGGCAUCUGUCAUGUGGCAUAAAGAGGGUUUAGGUUCUGCUUCGUGGUGUUAUCCUAUGGUAGGAUAAAGGGUAAAAACCACGUGCAGUACAAAAAUAUUUCCAUUCACACCAGAAAGUUGCCUCAUAAAUGACAUAAAAACGUUUCUGUUUCUUUUAUGAUCAAGCAUGGUGGCAACAUAUCAAUUUCCAUUUCCAGAGGUAAAUAAUUAAUUCAACUUCAUAUUGAUUCAAGAAAAUCAUUUAGGAUCCCAAUGAGGUGCAAGAAUUCCAUGAAGAGGAUUAUUUUUGUGUAGAUGAUUUAGAUUUGUGAGUAUGUUUUCUUUCAGAUGAGAGUAUUGAGACAUAAAUAGUUUGAUUGAGAGAUUCCAUGUAAAUAUGAAAGUUAUACUCGUCCGAAAAAAAACACAUUCACAAUCUAAAUCAUCUACACAAAAAUAAUCCUUUUCAUGGAAUUCUUGCAAAAGGAUUCUGAAUGAUUUUCUUGAAUCAAUAUGAAGUUGAAUUGAUUGUUACCUUUGGAAAUUGAUAUGCUGCCACCAUGCUUGAUCAUAAAAGAAACAAAAACUUUUUUAAGUCAAUUAUAUCCAGCAUGAAUGGGUGGGCUAAGUGUUAGGGCUGUGGCCACGUGGAAGUUUUUAGGGCGUAUGUUGGGCACAGGCGGACGUGCGGGGGCAGGCGGGAGCCGUGAGGGCGAGCGGGUGGGCGGGAGUGCGUGGUGGCGACGGACGGGAGAGGGACCGCGCUGGAGAAAAAACAAAAAGAAGGUUUGAUGCCACUGUAAGCGACUAAUUUUUCCAUUUUACUUUAGUCACUUAACUGCACCUCCGACCACUUGGAGGAGUCUCAUUCACAACCUCCAUAAGUCCCAGUUAGGACUUGGGGCUUGCCAGCCCUAAGAAUGGCUUCCAUGCCACUCAACCUUUGCACUUGGUCCAAGUGCUCCACGUGUCCGAUCCCAUUACCGACACCCCAGGGUACCACUGACAUACCAACCCAUUACGCUAGGCCAUACCCAUUCACCUUGGUCACACUGGCGGUCUAACGCCACCUGCAUCAUAAUCCUAUCUCUCAAAGACUGGGCCAUCCGUCCAUGAGCGAUCAUCCCAGAUCCACUCCUUAGCAUCCUUAGGAUGCCCGCAGAGAUGGGGAAUAGCCUUCCCUGACAACUCUUUUCCAGUCCCCACCAAGUCCCUUUUAGUCUAUGGCCGUGUUCACCAACACUGCCACUGGAUCAAGGCCCGCAGGCCUGACUGCUAAGUCCCACUAUCCUUUGGGACUUCCUCACCAUGUGACCAUAUCCUUGGUCACUGCAUUAGAGGCCUACUCCUCUUCCCUUUCACCGUUUGGGACUUUGGGACAACAUUUCGGAACACCGUGGCCUUACGCAAGCCUCAUGGGUACUCUCCCCGCCUUUCGCCUUUAGGUGCUCUAGCCAUGGGCUUAGAGCGAGGUUCCGUUGAGCCACGACAAGUAUCCAAGUAGGUAGUGCCACCCACACUUGGACUGGGAGCAUCAGCCAGUCGAUCUCCCGGGGGAACUAGAGCCGGCUCUUGAACACUUCACCAAGCUACCCCGCUUGUCGGUCCAUGUUCACUUUAGUCUUGGACUUCCUAGUGGGCAGCUCAUCACCCAACACUGGGUCCGGCCUUCCUGGGCCAAACUGGCCUUUUCUGGCCAAACUAGCUCCACUGCAGUCCUCCCCCUACUAUACUUUUGGAGCUCACCAAACCCCCCAGGGUCUGGGAGACGAACGCUUUGGGCUUUCACCCUCUCAGACUCGGACUCGGACUCGGACUCGGACUCGGACUCGGACUUGGACUCGGACUCGGACUCGAACUCGGGCUCGGGCUCGGCCUCAGGCUCGGCCUCGGUCUCGGUCUCGGCCUCGGCCUCGGUCUUGGCCUCGGCCUCGGCCUCGGUCUUGGCCUCGGCCUCGGCCUCGGUCUUGGCCUCGGCCUCGGCCUCGGUCUCGGUCUCGGUCCCGAUCUCGGUCCCGAUCUCGGUCUCGGUCUCGGUCUCGGUCUCGGUCCCGGUCUCAGUCUUGGUCUCAGUCUUGGUCUCGGUCUCGACUUCGGACUCCAUCUCGGGUCCAUCUCGGACUCCAUCUCGGGUCCAUCUCGGACUCCAUCCCGGACUCCAUCUCGGACUCCAUUUCGGGUCCAUCUUGGGUCCACCUCGGACUCCACCUCGGGUCCAUCUCGGACUCCAUCUCGGGUCCAUCUCAGACUCCAUCUCAGACUCCAUUUCGGGUCCAUCUCAGGUCCACCUCGGACUCCACCUCGGACUCCAUCUCGGACUCCAUCUCGGGUCCAUCUUGGACUCCAUCUCGGGUCCACCUUGGACUCCACCUCGGACUCCAUCUCGGGGUCCUUCUCGGACUCCACUUCGGACUCCAACUCGGGUCCAUCUCGGACUCCACUUCGGAUUACAACUCGGGUCCAUCUCGGACUCCACUUCGGACUCCAACUCGGGUCCAUCUCGGACACUUCCACGUGUCAUGUGUUGGUCCUUUUGGGUCCCCUUUUUGGAGCCUCGCUUAUUGCUCGCUUCGUGCUCAUUCCUCGAGCACCUUGUUAGGAGUUCCACUCCCGCUCUCAACCUUUCAAGUCGGAGCUUUUAGUCCAAACGUGUUACGCUUGUUUGGUUUUCGCUUCGGCCACCACCACAUGGCACCCUUCCGGCUCCACUUUGGGGCCUAGGGAUUUUGUGUCUCACAGCCACAUCACCACCAAGUAAGCCAUUUGGCUAUCCACAGCUAGAGUACGCUCCAUGAAUUCUUCUUUCUUCAGAUUAUGAUGACAAAUUUCCUUUUGGCUAUCUUCCAUUGUAUCAAUGAGGCUCACAUUGUUGUCAGGUAAAGCUUCUGCAAGAUGUUUUGCAAGUUGUGUGUGGGACUUCUUCCUCAGCCGGCCUGAACUAUGCUUUUCAGGAUUGUUGUUGUUUCCUAUCAUUGCCAAAAAUGAUUAUGAACAAAAACUACAAAACAUACCUUUAGGCUCUGAUUCUCCACAUGGAGGUGAUGGUGAUCUUUGUCGUGAAGCUCCUAGUGUCGAUAAUGGUGAUCGUUGGGAUGUAGGUGGUGAAGACAUUGAUUCUUGAGUCUAUCCCUGUGAAUUCACAGUUCGAAGGUCUUGAAGCCACUUGUCCAUCACUGCAUAGAGUUGAUCAUUGAACUUUGGUGGUAAAUCAGCUUCACGAUGUUGCUCCAUUGUCAUGUUCCAAUAACUGCUUCUGCCAGUAGGAACAUGAUAUUCAUGUGACUUGAUUUUGUUGAACUCUUUGUAGAUAUACUUCUAACGAGAUUGGCAUUGCCCAGGCAAAUAGUUGACACCAUGUGUCAAACAAUAGCUGCAAAAUCAAUGAACCACUGGAAGUCUAAAAAAUCCAAAACUUACUUGAAGACUUGCUGCUAACAAACACUUGCAGUCUUGUGCCUGUAUGUGGACCACUCCACGUGCGGAUGGUGGGGCCAACUAAACUGCAACUAGGGCCUCCCGUUAAACACCAUCCUGAUUCACUCUCUCUAUGGUGAAGAGUGUGGAUUAAGCAGCUCAAGCCUUGUUUGCAAUUGCUGAUUCUUUGGUAAGUCAAUUCAUUUUCUUAUUCAUGAACUUGACUUUUAUAGUUUACAGCGUCACUGAUUACUAUCUCAGCAGCAAUGAGAGAGAUGAUGAACUGAUGAAGACAUGUUGAUUUACCUACGAAAUGACAAUCUUAGACUACUUUUGCAUCGGAGUCUCUGCCACUCUUUUCUUGGCCUUUGUAGUCGCGAAGGAAAACUUUCUUGAACUUGGGAAGCGCAGAGUCAAACUCAUCGAGGAUUUGCUUUGCAUGUUGGCAUUUCAUGUUUCGCUGAUGCUGUUGAAUCAUAGCCCUCAAAGUCAACACAUCCUCGCUUGGCAAUGCUGUGGGGAUUUGAGAUGAGAAUUUUCCCAAGAAAUAAAGAGAAGAAACUAUGUACUGGAAGUAAAGAUCGCUAUAUACCUUCUACUACCGAUAGAAACUUCAGGCUUGACUUGUAAAUUGCCAAAAACUCUACUGGUUUUGCAGGUGAAAGUGCACCAAGCUUGCUUGCCACUAUCGCUGAGCUCACUUCUCCAGUGUUUUCUAAAAAGAAACAAGAUCAUAAGAAAACAAGCGAAAAAAAGAAAAAGGCUUUUGGAAAGCUUACCAGACGCUACAAUAUCCAACAUGAACUUACAAUCUCGAGCAAUAUGCACCUCAACCUAUUUAUAGUCUUCCUCCAGCUUGUCUGCAGCUCCUCCACCCACAAAGAAUUCCCAGGAAAAAUCCUGGAGAUAAAAGGUGCCACAAUUGUGAUACGAAAAGCCUCUUCAGCUCCAGUAGUGUUGUCAAUAGCCAGUUUUCUCUCAAGGAGGUAUUGGCAUUCUGGAUCCUCUUUUCUAUGUUUUUGAUAAACGGCAAGUCCUGUAAUGAAAUGUUGACAAGAAAGAUAAGUGUCACAUUUUCCGAAAAAUAGAACUUCACUGUAGCGCACAUGGUUUUUACCCUUUAUCCUAUGGUGCUUUACCAUAGGAUAACACCACGAAGCGGAACCUAAACCCUCUUUGUGCCACGUGAUAGAUGCCACGGAUCACAUGCCACGUGUCCAUAGGACAGUGGAACUCGAGGUUCAAGGCCUUGGGCCACUGAACGAAAGAACGGUGUCAAACUCCCAAGCAUGGAGCCAAGGAGCAAUGACACUAGACCACGGAGCAACUCCUGAGCAUGCAGCCUAAGGAGUGAAGAGGCAGGAGCCCGGAGCGACUUGGAACAAUCCUGGAACAACCAACAUCCUAAUGCCAGGACCAACACACAAAACGGAGCCAAACAGAGGUUGACACUAUUUUGGCAUAUCAAUGGCUUAAUGCGAGGAUAUGGGUACCCCACCAACUAGCAUGGUAUGGAACUUGGGCUUAGACCCAAAUUGACACAGAGCAAGGAUAGGCACGCAAGCGGGAGCUAAACUAAGCUUCAGGUUAGUCGGCCACCCGACCUACCCACUAUCCCUAUUAUACAUUUGGAACCCCCCAUAUCCCCCCCCCCUCCCCCUCCCUGAGGAACACACACUUUGGGCUUUCACCCCAAGCCUCCCUUAGUACCAGGAGUUAGUCUCUGGGACAAACUUGAAACUUACUAAAUAUGGAAUAUCCUUAGAUUGCGAAUUUGGACACAGGACGAACACCAUUGUGUUCAGAACAAUCUCUAAAUUCUAUAGAUAUGCCAAAUGAGCAAAUCUGGACACUUUCCAUAAAUAGCAUUUAGGACCAAAAUGAGAUUAACAUAAAGGGCAUGAUAGCGAGGGUGUUUGGCAGACAGGGUAAGCUAUCAUUCAGCGAUAUUGAGGGACUAGUCUCAAUAUGUGAGGGUUCUUGUUACUAGUCAGUGCAAGACAUAACGAGAUGGGAACUCCUUACCUGGCUAAGUAUGUUUAGCUAAUAACACCAAAAUGCCCAGUUAACUCCUCUAGCACAAGAGGGGUUGAUAAAAGGUCCAGCAAUACCGAUCUCCUGCCAUCAUGGCAGUAAGGUAAGAGUGUCCGUAAGGACUGGCUGACAGGUAACUUUCGAUACCCGAAGUCACAUUCGCGACACUCUCCCCCCUUAGGGAAGAUCGACGUCCUCGUUGAUGCAUACUCGAGUCUAGAAUAUCGCCAAGGAAACAACUCCAAAAAAAGUUCAAGGUAUUCACAUUAUGUGAGAAAUGCACCAACUUAAAUGAGUUAGGGUAACCUCUUCGUCUAACGCGGAUGCGCUACCAACUCAGACACCUUCCGGCCAUCACUAACAAGGAAAUGACGAACGGAGUUAGCCACCCUUGCUGCUUUGGGUGUCACCUAGCUACAAAAGUGUGAUAUGCCCUUGCUCGCAAGGAUAUAGAGAGAGAAGCCAGAGUGUAGCGCACCUGAAUUUGGAGCCGAACUCCAAGCCCGUUGCGCUACGAAACGAGGGUCCGGUACAAUCCCACGAGCACCAGCUCCCCGUAUCCAGCACCUGCACGCAAAAUGGUGUCAGACGGAGUCUGGCACAAUUUUGGCAUACCGGUGGCCUAACGCGAGAAGGAGGGUACUCCACCGACUAAAGCAGCAUGGAGCUUGGGCUUAGACCCAAGCCGGUCGCAGAACAAGGAGCGACACAGCCCAGCGGAAGCCAAACUAAUGUCUCAGGUGGUCGGACAUGCAUUCCAACCACUAUCCCUACUAUACAUUUGGAACCCCCCACAGCCCCCCCCCCUUGAGGGACACACGCUUUGGGCUUUCACCCCAAGCCACCCUUAGUACCAGGAGUUAGUCUCUGGGACAAGCUCGAAACUUACUAAAUAUGGAAUGGCCUUAGAUUGCGAAUUUGGACAUGGGACGAACACCAUUGUGUUCAGGCCGACCUCAACAUUCCGUAGAUAUGCCAAAUGAGCGAAUCUAGACACUUUCCAUAAAUAGCAUUUGGGACCGAAACGAGACUAACACAAAGGCGUGAUAGCGAGGGUGUUUGGCAAACACGGUAAGCUAUCAUCUAGCGAAUAUUGAGGGACUAGUCUCAAUAUCGCGGGGGUUCCCAACACUAGCAAGUGCAAGUCAACAUCAUGAGUUUCUCAUCACCGUGUCAAGUAUGCUUGACUUAAUGACAACUUAGGAUUUCCUUCCUUAGUGCCCUUCCGGUCUAAGUGCACAUGUGCUGACCAGUUUCUCAACUAGCUUGGGCGGAGACCAUAAAGGGAACCAGCAGUACCGACCUCCUGCCGUCGUGGCAGUAAGGAGAGAGAGUCCGUAAGUACUAGCCGACAAGUAUCUUUCGAUACCCGAAGUCACAUGCGCGACACAGAGGCCCCAACCCUCAUGAGCAAAGAAACCAAACCUGUCGGUAAGGUUUAGAUAGACUACUGUAAACAGUUAGUUAGAGUUGUUUACAUGGUCAUGCUCUUUUUAAACGACAAAAGGAACAUCGACAGAAAGGCGGGUAAUGUAAUCAGUCGACAGUAGCUACCCCAUGACUAGAGAUUUUAGCAUGCACACGAAGUGCCAAAGUCAAUCUGCCUAUACUGGCCCAAAUUCAAAGAUCAAUAGAUGGACAAUAUCAAAGUCAUAAACAAUGAUAUCUAAAAGUCUUAUUUAUCAAUGAUUAAAUCUUAAAUUAGAACACAAAAGUAUUCCAAGUAAAUUAUCAUCCGAUAAACCAGUAGUAGAGUAUAGGAACCACCAAGAUCACUAUAAUUGGAAAACAUAGGAUUCACCAUCGAACAAAAUUCAAUAGCCAAAUUAUCAUUAAGAAAACUCAAUGAUAAAAUUUAAUUAUCAAAGAUUGCAGACAGUAUGCCAAACAACUUACAAAAGAGAACUUAAAGAAUACAAAGUAUCAUUGACUGGCAAGUAAAAUGCUCGCGAAUGUACAAUCUACCAAAACUAACUUAAGCAAUAAUCAACAGAACAAAAUAAAUGCGGUAAGACUAACAAACACUCAUUCAUGCCAACUAUCGCAUUAGCCAAUCUAAAUAGAUCGUGGUCAACAAUACAAAGGAACUCAAGUUGCUUAAGCAAGUGUUAGCAACAUCCUAUUGAUAUUUCAAACCCAAUAGACGCAAACCACAAAGAACAUAUAGUAAUGCGAAAAGCCAAAAGCCAUCAAUGAGAACAACUAACUAUCAUAAAAGACCAUUAAUUAUCCCAUAAAUAGUGAGAUGCAUAAUCAUUGUCAAAGAAAGAAUCUACCAUCCCGAAGAAUGACAAAUCAUUCUAUACCAACAAUAAUCAAGUAAAACUUUUUUGACAAGGAUAAUCAAUUAUCCUAGAUGAUAGUCAAUCAUCACCAAUGAUUGCUAGAUGCAAAAACCAACUUCAAUAUCGAAGCUAAUGAGCCAAAAUAUCUUCCCCCAACAACUUCUAAUAAAUGGAAAAAUGAGCAUGAAAACUCAAGGAACCAAAAGUUUGAAGAAGCUUAUAGCCAAGUCUUGCUUAACAAUGAUCACGAGUCUUGCAUAUAUUAACUUUAAUGCUAAGAAGAAAUUAUGGUACAACCCACAAUAUCCUUCUCAACACAUCUAUAAACUAAACUUCAUAAUACAAAAGCUAAUGAAGAGCAUGUUUGCAUCAAUCCAAAAGCUAAGUAUAAUGAAGUUAUGCUCAACAAGUGAUCAUCUAAUUCGAUCCUCCAUGAAUCCAUCUAUAGUAAGACGUAACUCACUUCAUAACAAGCACAAGAAGAAUCAUCAAUGAUCGAUAUAUCCUAACUGAAAUUCAACAAAGAUUCAAUCACUUCAAUACCAAUCACUAACUCUUCCUCUCAUAGAGCUAGCAUAGUCCAUGACUAAAUCAUCUUUCAAGGAAAAUCCAAAACUCAACCCCUACUAAAUAAUCUUAUCUAGAACACAACUAACUCAAACUUGCCACUCAGUUCAUUUGAAUGUCAAUGUAGUUGUUAAUUAGCAAUUGCACAAAUGCCAAUAACACAAAGCCAUAGCCAAAUCAUCAACACUAUCUUCAUUAAGACUAAUGAAAUUCAAUAUCAAUCUUUCAGAAAGACAUCUCAUCUCACUUAAAUCUCAACAUCAAUAAUAUUAAUGAUAGGGCAUCACUUCAAUUCCAUCAACACCAUAACAAAGCUAGAAGAAAGCACGAGUGAAUCACCACUCAAAACUCUCUUAGCAACUAAACUAACCAAAGUCGACGAUACCUUAGCCAGUAUCUAAGACCAAUUCUUCAACAAUACUCAGCUAUAGAUAAUACAUCACCAAAGAGUGAUUCACCACAUCCAAGACUCAAUGAAAUCCAAAAUCACAAACUAAAUGUAACCAAAUGAUAUCGAUAGAGGAAUCGACAUGCCAAUAUGGAAAACCAUCCAAGCCAUGACACGAUCCUCCGCAACACCAUCUGGUAAAGCAAGCCCAUCACUGCUAAAUCAUCAUCGAGCGAAGCAAGUGUCAACAGUACUUGACGAAGUUUACAAGCAAUCACUAGUCGCAAAGCAAUUAACAAUCGCUCUUCAACUUGCAUUCACAAGACCCAAACACUAAACUCACAUCAUUGAGUUAUAUACUUGUUCAAUAAAAACGUAAUACCUCAUGCCGAAAUAAAGGUUCAUGAACAAGCACGAACUAAAUGACAACUCGAAUCCAACUCAACUGCAAUAAGCUCACCAACACAUCUAGUUAGUAGCUCUGAGCUUACCUUGAAAAGGCUAGCUAUGCAUGAUCAACAUUUAGUCGAAACUAAAAUGAAGACCAUGAGAUGAACUCAUAUUGGUACACAACCUCCUCACAAACAAGGCUAUUGUACAGGUACUAACAUUUUAACCGCAAACAACUAAGUUGAACAUCACUAUCCUCAGCUAAAGCGCAAAGCCACCAAAACCAAGUCAAGAUCAGUGAGAGCUCACUACUCUCAUAGAGUCUAACAAAUGCAAGGUGAAACUUGCCACAAAGCACAACACUCCAAAGAAAGGCACAAAAGUCACCUUUCUAGAAAAGCACAACGGCCAUUUUUCUACACCAACUUUAGACUCUAUUCAACUCAAUUGCCUUAGCCCCAAAAGUCAGCAUCCCUUUCGGGCGCAUCAUACAAACUACCUAUUAAGGUCUAAGCUAACAAAGGUCAACUUCAACCCCUUCACUAGUUUGUAUCAGCUUACGAAAAUAGAAAGGUUUUUGGACAAAGUGAUUAACAAAUCAGCCAUUGGAAAAGCCUAAGAAAAUUUAUGGAAAAUUUUCCAUCCUAGAGAAAGAAUGACUCUCAAUCCAGAAAUGCAAACUUUCAAGACUCAACCAAUUUCCUCCUACUAACAACUUCACAUAGGUUCACCUCAACACAAAUUCUCAAGACCUAUAAUAUGCUUAAGCCUUAAACACCAUGCCUAUAAUUUUGAUAUCCAAUACUAAUAUCCGUAAAUUGCAAAAUGAACAUCCAAGGCUUGAUCAUGAAGACCAUAUCUUCAGAUAUCCAUAUUGUACUAACACCCUUCUUCAAUUUUUUUCAAGAUCCAAUGUGAAGCCAAAACACUAACAAGAAAAACGACUUAAAAAAUCAAGGUCUAAGGAGAACUCCUCAUCACUUGAAAUAACAAUGCUACUUCCACUAACACGAAUGCUAGUGAUGUCAAUGCCUCAACCACACAUCUUCUUCAUCCAAUAAUCUACUCCAAGUGCUAACGGCUCAACCGAAAAACCAUAGCAAGUGAAUGCUAUAACUCUUUUCCAACACCUUAUGGGCAAACCCUCAAGGAAACAACAUACCAACUUAAGCUUAGCAUAUCAUAGAUCACUAUUGAGAACCAAGUCAAACCUACUUCAAUGCUACUACUUACAAGUAGACUAGUAUCACUAUCAACCACUUUGGGGUUGAUCAUCGUUUAUCCAAGCAACUUCGUAAACUUAUUGUUUACGAUCACAUAGAUAUGAUAUAAAAAUCACAAUGACUUGAUCAUCAAUCGAGCAACACUAUGAGUAAUGCCCAUGUCACUACUUCAAAAGUUUAUGCGAGUAUCACAUGCUAACUCUAUUCGACAAAAUGCAACAUAAAUGUCACACUCCACCGAUAGAUUUACAACACCCAACGCCACUAACUUUUGUUCACAACAUAAACAAGCUCAUGCCACUCUCUUUCUGACCAAACUCAACACUAAUCCAACACCAAGCUACUCAAGGAGCAAUAGGAAGGUUCCUUGGAAAAGAAUUGAGCAUUGUAACCCAAGUCUUCAAUAGCAAGUUUAGACAAAAUGGUUUAACGCUUCACUGUUAUCCAUCCCAUGACUCACCACUUGUAAGACCAUCAUUUCCAGCAUGCAUCAAGAUAGGGACUCUUAAUUGCAUAAUGUGAACAUGAGCAAUGAGUCACACCUCGUUGCAAAUCAUCUCUCCAAAAAGAGAAAAUGAUUUACGUGUUUGAUUCUUCGUCCCUGAUGACUCUCUUUUCGGUCUCAUCUUUUGACUAAACCUCCAACUUGCAUUUGCACUGCCUUCAGUCUAAUCCAAGAAAAGUUUAUGAGAGAGCAUGGCAAUAAUUACUUGAACCAAUAGACUAAUCCCUACAGUCUUGUAAUUAUGGCUAAGAAGGAUCCACUAGUGCCGUGCUAAACAGCUACGGACUAGCUUAUUCGCCACUCUUUGCAAACCCAAGGAAGGUUUACUUUCACCCAUGGUACAUAGAACAACUCAUGGAACCAUUGGAACAACUCAUAGAACCAUUGAUAGGCAAACAUUAAUCUUGCCAACUCAAAGUGCAAUCUUGAGUUGCUAAUGUGCCUCAUUCACGAGCCCAAGCGCAAACUUGUGCAAACGGAACACCUCAAUCCUUUUAAUGAGCUCAAGAGAAAGCUCAUUACUCUAGUACGAAAAAGUAACCAAAAUCCAUACCCAAGGAACAAAUGCAAAGCCUUUGCACCCAAAUGUGUACCCACUCGGAUCAUCGUUUUCAUCUCUACAUAUGUAACAAGACUAGUUACCCAAACUCAUUGAAUAAUACUCACUCAGACUCAUCCUUUGAUACCAAAUGUAGCGCACGUGGUUUUUACCCUUUAUCCUAUGGUGCUUUACCAUAGGAUAACACCACGAAGCGGAACCUAAACCCUCUUUGUGCCACGUGAUAGAUGCCACAUAUCACAUGCCAUGUGUCCAUAAGAUAGUGGUGUGGAACUUGAGGUUCAGAGCCUUAGGCCACUGAACGAAAGAAUGGUGCCAAACUCCCAAGUAUGGAGCCAAAGCGUAAUGACACUAGACCACGAAGUAACUCCCGAGCAUGCAGCCUAAGGAGCGAAGAGGUAGGAGCCCGGAGCGACUUGGAACAGUUCUGGAGCAACUAGCAUCCCAAUGCCAGAACCAGCACACAAAAUGGAGCCAAAUGGGGUUUGGGGCUAUUUCAGCAUACUGGUGGCCUAACGCGAGGAUAUGAGUACCCCACCAACUAGCAUGGUAUGGAACUUGGGCUUAAACCCAAGCUGACGCAGAACAAGGACAAGCACGCAAGCGGGAGCUAAACUAAGCCUCAAGUUAGUCGGCCAUGCCCGACCUACCCACUAUCCCUACUAUACAUUUGGAACCCCCCAUAUCCCACCCCCCCCUCCCUGAGGAACACACGCUUUGGGCUUUCACCCCAAGCCUCCCUUAGUACCAAGAGUUAGUCUUUGGGACAAACUUGAAACUUACUAAAUAUGGAAUGUCCCUAGAUUGCAAAUUUAGACACAGGAUGAACACCAUUGUGUUCAGAACAAUCUCUACAUUCCAUAGGUAUGCCAAAUGAGCCACUGAACGAAAGAACGGUGUCAAACUCCCAAGCAUGGAGCCAAGGAGCAAUGACACUAGACCACGGAGCAACUCUCGAGCAUGCAGCCCAAGGAGCAAAGAGGCAGGAGCCCGGAGUGACUUGGAACAAUCCUGGAGCAACCAACAUCCUAAUGCUAGGACCAGCAUACAAAACGGAGCCAAACGGAGUUUGGCACUAUUUUGGCAUAUCGGUGGCCUAAUGUGAGGAUAUGGGUACCCCACCAACUAGCAUGGUAUGGAACUUGGGCUUAGACCCAAAUUGACACAGAACAAGGACAAACACGCAAGCGGGAGGUAAACUAAACUUUAGGUUAGUCGGCCAUACCCAACCUACCCACUAUCCCUACUAUACAUUUGGAACCCCCUAUAUCCCCCCCCCCCCCCCCCCCCUCUCCCUCCCUGAGGAACACACACUUUGGGCUUUCACCCCAAGCCUCCUUUAGUACCAGGAGUUAGUCUCUGGGACAAACUUGAAACUUACUAAAUAUGGAAUAUCCUUAGAUUGCGAAUUUGGACACAGGACGAACACCAUUGUGUUCAGAACAAUCUCUACAUUCUAUAGAUAUGCCAAAUGAGCAAAUCUGGACACUUUCCAUAAAUAGCAUUUAAGACCGAAAUGAGACUAACACAAAGGGCAUGAUAGCGAGGGUGUUUGGCAGACAGGGUAAGCUAUCAUUCAGCGAUAUUAAGGGACUAGUCUCAAUACACAAGGGUUCUUGUUACUAGUCAGUGCAAGACAUAACGAGACGGGAACUCCUUACCGGGCUAAGUAUGCUUAGCUAAUAACACGUAGGAAUUCUGUCCUUAUGCUCGUCCGGUCUAAGUACACUCGAAAUGCCCAGUUAACUCCACUAGCACAAGAGGGGCUGAUAAAGGGUUCAGCAAUACCAACCUCCUGCCAUCAUGGCAGUAAGGUAAGAGUGUCCGUAAGGACUGGCCGACAGGUAACUUUCGAUACCUAAAGUCACAUUCGCAACAAGAGACAAAAGGUGCCACAAUUGUGAUACGAAAAGCCUCUUCAGCUCUAGCAGUGUUGUCAAUAACCAAUUUUCUCUCAAGGAGGUAUCGGCAUUCUAGAUCCUCUUUUCUAUGUUUUUGAUAAACGGCAAGUCCUCUAAUGAAAUGUUGACAAGAAAGAUAAGUGUCACAUUUUCCAAAAAAUAUAACUUCACUCGAUUCAUCUCACUCGCAAUUGGCUCCAACAAUCGACUCCUUGGGUCGUCACUAGUGUUGUCGACUGGAUCCAAAGCCUUCACUACCACUCACUAGAUUUCUAUUGGAAAUUCUAUUUUCCUUGACUCGCUCCACUCAAUCUUACCUUGGAAACCACAUGAGAGGUGUUGAGCAGCAACUCUAGAAUCUCCCAAAAUCAUUGACAUCCUUGUUGAUGAGCUAGGCAAGCUCAUUCUUGAGCACUGCAAGGUGACUGCGCAGCUCACCGUGCAGCACUUUGAGUAGCAUGAAGCUGCGGCUAGAAAUGUGGGCGCACAAUCAAAACCCUGAAAAAUAAAACUUGAGUUUGGCAUGCUAAAAUAAACACAUUCAUGAGCUUCAAGUAGAUUUGUUUAAGUCUAUUACAUAAGUUGUGAGAAUGUUUCUAAGCUCCAUAGCAGUGAUAUGAGGCUCUGGUCGGUGGCCUUGUGGUGGAUUAGUCACUGGCUUAGACUUAAUGUCUAUUUGCCCUAUGUCACCUGUACCAAUAAUGAAGUUAUGCAGAAUGCAAGCUGUUUUUAUGGCAACUAUUAGUUGAGUGAUGGUCUCAACUUCAACUAACUUCCUAAAAAUCCUUCAAUGACCUUUAUGCAAUCCAAAACUUCUCUCACAUGCCAUCCUUAAAGACGACAAGUAAAAGCUGAAUGUGUAAGCGACCAAAUUUUCCAUUCUACUUUAGUCACUUAACCGCACCUCCGACCACUUGAAGGAGUCUCAUUCACAACCUCCAUAAGUCCAAUUCAAGACUUGGGGUUAGCUAGCCCCGAGAAUGGCAUCCAUGCCACUCAACUUUUGCACCUGGUCCAAGUGCCCCACGUGUCCAAUCCCAUGACAGACACUUAAAGGUACCACCGACAUAACAACCUAUUAUGCUAAGGGCAUGCCCAAUCACCUUUGCCGCACUGGUAGUCCAAUACCAUUUGCAUCACAGUCUUGUCUUUCCAAAACUGGGCCAACCAUCCAUGAGUGGUCAUCCCAGAUCCACUCUUUAGCAUCCUUAGGAUGCCCACCGACAAGGGGAACAACCUUCCCCAAUAUCCCUCUUUCAGUCCCCACCAAGUCCCUUCCUACCCAUGGCCGUGUUCACCAACACUACCACUAGGUCAAGGCCCAUAGGCCCGACCACUAAGUCCCAAUGUCCUUUGGGACUUCCUCACCAUGUGACUGUAUCUUUAGUCACUACGCCAGAGGUUUGCCCCUCUUCCUUUCCACAAUCUGGGACUUUGGGACAACAUUUUGGAACACUAUGGCCUUACGCAAGCCACCUAGGUACUCUCCCUGCCUUUCACCCUUGGGUGCUCUAGCCAUGGGCCGUUGAGCCACGCUAGGUAUCCAAGUAGGUAGUGCCACCCACACUUGGAUUGGGAGCAUCGACCAUUCGAUCUCCUGGGGGAACUAGAGUCAGCUUUUGAACACUUCACCAAGCUACCCCACUUGUCUAUCCGUAUUCACUCUAGUCUUGGACUUCCCAGUGGUCAUCCCAUCACCCAACAACUGGGUAUGGCCUUCCUGGGCCAAACUAGCCUUUCCUGGCCAAACUGGCUCCACUGGGUUCCAACCCCCACACUCUCCCUACUAUACUUUGGAACCCCCCGCAGCCCUCCCCCCCUGGGGGACGAUCAUUUUGGGCUUUCACCCAAUUGCCUGUAUUAGUAUUCGGACUCGGACUCGGACUCGGACUCGGAUUCGGACUCGGUCCCAGUCUCGGUCUCGGUCUCGGUUCCAUCUCGGGUCCAUCUCGUGUCUAUCUCGGAUUCCAUCUCGGGUCCAUCUCGGACUCCAUCUAGGGUCCAUCUCGGACUCCAUCUCCGGUCCAUCUCGGACUCCAUCUCGGGUCCAUCUCGGACUCCAUCUCGGGUCCAUCUCGAACUGCAUCUCGGACUCCCAUCUCGGGUCCAUCUCGAACUGCAUCUCGGACUCCCAUCUCGGGUCCAUCUCGGACUCCAUCUUGGACUCCAUCUCGGGUCCAUCUCAGGUCCAUCUCGGACUCCAUCUCGGGUCCAUCUCAGGUCCAUCUCGGACUCCAUCUCGGGUCCAUCUCGGACUUCAUUUCAGACUCCAUCUCGGACUCUAUCUCAGACUCCAUCUCGAGUCCAUCUUGGACUCCUCUUGUGUCUUUUUUUUAGAGACUCACUUAUUGCUUGCUCAUGCUCAUUCUUUGAGCACUUCGUUACUAGGAGUUCCACUCCCACUCUCGACUCUUCAAGUCAGAGCAUUUAGUCCAAACGUGUUACGCUCGUUUGGUUUCUGCUUCGGCCACUACCACGUGGCACCCUUUCAGCUCCACUUUGGGGCCUAGGGAUUUGGUGUCUCACAACUCCACCACCCAUAGACGAACUUUGAUGUCCUUAUCGAACGGUAAACCAUUUUAUAAAGUAACACUUGCAUGUGUUACUAUUUCCAUCCUUGGCACCUAGCCAAUAUUUAUCUAUGGUUUGACAUUGAAGGCUCACCAUGCCUUAUCCAUCCUCUAAAGAGCAUAGUGUAAGCCACAAAUUUUUCCUUUCCAAUUUGCCAGCUUACCUCGUCUAUCCGUCCAACACUGCCUUGGCUUUCGCUAAGUUCCCUUGCCAAGGUUCUCGCCUAUGGUACCAGCUCCUACUUGGUUUUAGCUACUCACUGCACGAGCAAUGGAGUGUUAGCCAUCCUUCCACGGAUUCCCAAAUCACUCCCAAUCCCCCUCCCCGGGUUAGACUGGACUUAAGGUUCGGCUACACUCCCUGCAAACACAAGCAGCCAAGCACACCAAGCUUCCAGGUUCCUAACAUCCCUUGGUACCACAAGACUUGAUCAUGGGACCCUCUAAAUCCCAAGUCUUGAGUGCAACACUUGCUUCGGGACGCCGAGGCGAAACACCGUGGCCUAGUGGCCCGGUAUGGGUACCUCUACCCCCCCCCCACUUCCAUCCCAAAGGAAGGCCCAAGCCCCUAGGAAGGGCGAGGACCAAUGAGCCGCAUGGUACUCAAGUGGGGCACCACUCCACAUGAGCCGGGAGCACCGCGAUCGGUUUCCCUUUUGGGAGUGGGAGCUGCUCUUGAGCACUUCCUUGGAUGGCCCCUCUGGCACCAGCCAAGUCCAUGCUCACUCCCACCCAAAGCCCCUUGGUCCCAGUCUCAACCUCAAGUCGGUUUGGGAGCUCCACUGGAGAGUCCCUUCAAAACUAAUUCCUGAACCUCACUAUCCCUACUAUACUUUUGGAACCCCCUGCAGCGCCCCCCCCCCCUGGGAGACGCACGCUUUGGGCUUUCACCCCUUGACCCGUAUUAGUAUUUGGACUUAGUCUCUGGCUCGAUCUCGGACCCGAUUUCGGAUCCGACUUCGGAUUUGGUUUCGGACUCGAUCUCGGACUCGAUCUCGGACCCGAUNNNNNNNNNNNNNNNNNNNNNNNNNNNNNNNNNNNNNNNNNNNNNNNNNNNNNNNNNNNNNNNNNNNNNNNNNNNNNNNNNNNNNNNNNNNNNNNNNNNNNNNNNNNNNNNNNNNNNNNNNNNNNNNNNNNNNNNNNNNNNNNNNNNCGGUCCUAGAGUCGGUCUUGGACUCGAUCCUCGACUUGGUCCCAUCCGAUGAACUCUUUGUCAUUUCGGUCAAGCUUUUGGGGUUCCUUUAGCCUACGACAUCUCGGGGAGUCGGUUCCUUACAACUCCACCACCCAUAGAAGAAGUUCGAUGCCCACAUCGAACGUCUCAUUUUAUCCUACGACUUGUUGACCAUGUCUUCGGGGGCAUCCCCCCACUUAGCGGUGUGCCUAAGUCAGCCUCCCCAGCCAAGAGCCCAUGACAACGGAAUAUAGGUGUCCUUAUACUCCUCACCUCACCACGCCCUAGUAUGGGGUCGGGACUUGAACCCAGCCUUGCUUUACUAGGGGGUUGGGACUUGAACCCAACCUCCGUAGAAUACGUCUACGGAUUCGACAUCCCCACAGGGAGUCGGGCGUAGCUCCCUACGCCUGGUCGACCUAGCUAACCCAUGCUAAUUAGCUUACCUUCGGCGUGCCUUCGGGUCCCAACAUAUGCCAUUGCUCAACUUCUCAAAUUGAUACUUUUAAUUGAACUUUGCAUAAGUACAUAGAGUUUUGCCAUGCAGAAAUUCCUCCACAAGAUCUCGCGCGUUCGCUAGGUUCUCCUCCGGUUCCCAUGUUGCUUCGCAGUGUGGAAAUCCUUUCCACUUCACAUGGAACUCUCUCACCUCGCGUCCUUGUCGCUUGCUCUUGCGCGCAUUGAGGAUGGCCUCGACUUCGUAUUCCUCCUCCCCUUGGAUAACCUCAGGUAAAGGUCUUACUUGGUCCUUGCGAAGCAGAUCCUCAAAAUACGGCUUGAGUAAGUUCACGUGGAACAUGGGAUGCAUCUUCCCCAUCUCUCGAGGAAGUCGGAGACGGUAAGCCACUUUACCGAUUCGAGCCUCAAUCUCGUAAGGCCCCGCGAACCUGCUUAAGGAACUCAAGAUCAAUUCAUUUACAGGAAUACAUGCAUUUUUACCUUUGGGUCAACUUUCGGCUGAUCCCACUUGGUAGCCUGAGGUUCUUGGUGUUCAGCCACACCUUCUCCCCAGCUUGGAACUCCACAUCCCGACGCUUUUGGUUCGCGUACUUAGUUUGCCUUUGUUGAGCCCGUUCCAAGGAUCCCUCACUAGAUUCCAAAUGUUAAGUCUUUCCGCCGUGAAUGCCUCCACUGCGGGUAACUCUCCAUGAUACUCGGCCACGCCGAGUUCCAUAGGACCUUCAAUAGCUCGCCCAUUGAUGACUUCCCAUGGACUCACCCCGAUGCUCGAAUGUGGUGAGUUGUUAUAACACAUUUCCGCAAGUCCCAAAUGACUCACCCAGUCGGUCUGGUCUCGCGAGACAUAGCAUCGCAAAUAAUCCUCCAGCUGCCUAUUCACCCUUUCCGUUUGUCCGUCUGUCAAGAAGUGUUAGUGCCAUCAAUCUUGACUUAAUACCCAUUACCUGUCUGUGGGUGAUAGGCUGUGCUGAAUUUUAACUUGGUGCGAUACUGUUCUAGGAGUGUCCUUCAGAACCUACUGGUGAAGAUCUUAUCUCGAUCUGAGAUAAUCUCUUCCGGCCUUCCCCGCACUCGAACCACUUGUUCGAAGAACAGCUUCGCCACACCUUCCACAUCCACUUCCGUUGUGGUGGGUAUGAAAUGUGCCAUCUUCGAAAAUCGGUCCACCACCACGAAUAUCGCAUCGAACCCCUCGCUUGGGGGUAGUCCCGUGAUGAAGUCCAUUGUGAGACAUUUCCACGGACAAUCUGGAAUGGGGAUGCUUUGCAACAAGCCCCCACUAGCCUUAGUCACGGCUUUGACCUGCUGACAUGUUGGACAUGUCUUUACAUAGUCUUGGACGUCCUUAGCCAUAUCUGGCCAGUGAUACUUCCUUUUGAGUAAGCCCAUCGUCUUGGGCACUCCGCCGUGUCCCGCGAGAGGUCCGUCAUGACACUCUUCCAAGGCUACCUUCCUUAGUUCCCCUUCUGAAACAUACACCCUCGUUUACUUGUAAUAGAUGAGUCCAUUGCAUUCCGCAUAGCCCGUUUUCUCUUCCGUUGGCAGCUCACCUCUCUGGUGAGCUUCCCGCGCCUCUAGAUUCCUCAGCAACACUUCUUGUGCUAGACCGUCGUUCUCGUAUGCAGUCCGCACAUCAUCCCAAAAGGUUGCUGUCGCGCUAGAUAUCGCCAACUUCAAGCUCGCUUUUCGACUUAGCGCAUCUGCCACGAUGUUGCUCUUCCCAGGCUUGUACAGGAUCUCGCAAUCAAACUCGGCCAAAGCAUUGGCCCACCGACCUUGUUUUCCCCUUAGGUCGGGCUGUGACAAGAAGUGUUUCGUUGCCACAUUAUCCGUGUAAACUUUGAAGUGUCUCCCAAGGUAGUGUCGCCACUCCUUGAGCACCUUGACCACCACAAACAAUUCCUUCUCAUGGGCAGGCCACUUCUAUUGAGCCUUGUCCAACUUCUUCGAGAAAAAUGCUACUGGAUGGUUGUCCUGCUUCAAAACUGCGCCCAACGCAAAGUCUGAAGCAUCUGUUUCUACCUCAAAGUCCUUACCAAAGUCUGGUAAUGCCAACACGGGGGCCUUCCUCAACUUCCCUUUGAGGUGGACGAAUGCCGCCUCGCAUUCUGCUGUCCAUACCAUCUUCCCUUUUCCCGUUUGGUCCGUUAAGGGCAGGGCUACUCUCAAAUAGUGUCUGAUAAACUUUCGAUAGUAGUUGCAUAGCCCCAAGAAUGCCCUCAACUCAUGUACAUUCGAUGGUCGCUCCCAUUCCUAGAUCGCUUGGACCUUCUCCGGGUCCACCUUGAGCCCGUCCUGGCCCACCACAUGCCCGAGAAACUUUACCUCUUGUUGAGCAAAGUCACAUUUGCUCUCUUUAGCAUACAGUUUGUGUUCCCUUAGUUUCUCAAACACCUUCGCCAAGUGUUCGGCAUGCUCCUCUAGCGUCUCGCUAUAGAUCAGGAUGUCGUCAAUAUAGACGACCACGAAGUGAUCCAGAUAGAGUACAAAGAUGUGGUUCAUCAAUGCCGAAAACGUUGCCGGCACAUUGCACAGCCCAAAGGGCAUCACCAAAAACUCAAAGCUCCCAUACCUCGUUCGACAGGUUGUCUUCUCGACAUCUUCCUCAGCUACCCUGAUCUGGUAGUAUCCUGACCUUAGGUCAAUCCUCGAGAAGUAUUUUGCCUUUCCCAACCUAUCGAACAGGUCCUCAAUCCUUGGCAAAGGGUACUUGUUCUUCUUUGUAUACUUGUUGAGCAACCGGUAAUCUAUGCACAUGCGCAUAGAUCCAUCUUUCUUUUUCACAAAUAGCACCGGUGCCCCAUACGGCGAUUUGCUCAACCUAACAUACCCUUUGUCCACCAACUCCUCUAGUUGGCGUUUGAGCUCCGCGAGUUCUUUUUCGUUCAAACAAUAGGGUGGACGAACCACCGCCUCAGCGCCCUCGACCAGCUCAAUCUUAUGUUCUAUCGGCUGUGCGGGGGGCAACCCCGCCGGUAGCUCCUCCAGCAUGGUAUCCUGGAAUUGGUCCAACACCCGCUGGAUCACUAAAGGUACUUCUUCCAUUCCUGUCUUUUUGUCACUCUUCACCGAGAGUAAGCACAAAAAGGCUGCCUUAGUUCCUUUAGUGAGUUGUCCUCUCGUGGACACCAGGUUUAAGCAGGAUUCUUUGGCCUUGCUUUGCCCUACCUUUAGAUCCUGGGCCUCCACCCUAGAUCUUCUUCCUUGGGCAUUCGCCAGUACCACAAGGUUCCUACCUUGUCCAUGUAGGGCUACCACGAACCGAUUGAACCAAUCCAUUCCGAAGAUCACGUCAAAUCCCGCCAUGUCCAACACGGUGAAAUCCAUGUCUACUUUCCAUGUCCCUACUUCGACUCUCGCUUGUCGAAGUACCUCAUCGGUGCUUUGACUACCUUGAACAAACUCAAACCGGUCCUUGGUUCGCCUAGCCGCUGCACCGUUAGUCCGGCUUGCCGGACUAUGUCUGCAGCCACAAAAUUAUCCGAAGCACCCGUGUCAAUAAGGAUCUUAACAAAGCUACCUCCGAGCUUCCCUCGGAGGGCUAGUAGAUGUCGCGAACGACUCUCUACCAAAGUUGCUCGUGUAAUGAGCAACUUUGAGUUAAGGACUGGAUCACAUACCUCAGUUUGGACUUCACCCGACUUGAUGGCCAUAUUGGCUCUGGCCUUCUUCGGGUAGGGACAUUCCCUCGAGAAGUGUCUCGCUUCACCGCAGUUGUAGCAUACGUUGUUUCCCACGCUGCUAUAUGACUUGACCUUCUUAUCCAUGGGUUUGUCUCUUUUCGCUUGGCUCCCCCACGUACUCGCUCGCUGGCCACCGGAUUUGCCUUUCCGGAACCCCGAGGACUCAUUCUUAGAGAAACUCUUCUUGAAUUUCCCCCUGCUAUACGUUCCCCUUGGUUUAGCUCCUUUGCUAAACGUGGAUCCCGAACCCGUCGUGUUCCCCUUUCGCAGGUUAUCGUUGAAAUGCACCUUGAUGGCCGCAUCCAACGCUUCCUUGUAGUUGGUCGGGUUCUAGCGCAUCACUUCACCGCGAGCCAAGGUUUGCAAACCUGAUAUAAAGGCAUGGAACGCAUCCAUAUCCCCCAUGUCCGUGACAAGUAUCCUCUUUGCCAUGAACCCAUUCACAUAUUCCUAGAUGGUUCCAGUCUGCUUCAGCCUACUCAGCUCAUCUCUCAGAUGCAGAGUGGCAUUCGGAGGAACGUAUGUUGCGCGGAUCCUCGCCUUCAUCAUGUCCCAGGUGGCCACCGGUCCUUCGUUGGCCUCCGUUGUUCUCCACCAAGACUUGGCAUUAUCUGCCAAGUAUGGUUUUGCACAUGGGACCUUCUCUGAGCUCGGUAAUCGCAACGCUCGGAAGUAGUCCUCCAUAUCGUAAAACCAAUCCUCCACAACCUUAUAGUCGUUCACUCCCUUGAACACCGGUGGGGGCUUUGGUUUGUACUUGGGAACUGCCUGAGGGACUGAUUCCACUUUGGUCUGUUCGACCUUGUCUGGUUUUGCCUCAGUCCCUGCCGAAGGGUCCGCACCUUCUGCGCUGCCAGCAUCCGCAGUCUUUCACUUUUUCUUCCGCUUCUCGUCACGCUUUAACUUGCGUAUGAGAGUCUCUAGCAGGGCAUUGGUCUAUGCCAAUUGUCCUUCUAGCACGUCCAAUCGAGCCUUGGACGACCGAACCUCGCCACCGGACUCCUGUUUGGAAGUUUCCUCACUAGAGUCCUUCUCAUGCAAGGAUUCCUCAUCCAUAGCCUCUUGUUCAACCGGAGGCUGCAGCUCCGGCGGAGGUUCCGUCUCCGCCUGGGUUCGCUUAUGCCCUGCCCUUGCCAUCUCCCAGCAAUCCGCCUCUAUCCUUCGCUAGAACUGAGGAAAAGGCUCCAAUACCAAAUUGUAAGCCACAAAUUUUUCCUUUCCAAUUUGCCAGCUUACCUCGUCUAUCCGUCUAACACUGCCUUGGCUUUCACUAAGUUCCCUUGCCAAGGUUCUCGCCUAUGGUACCAGCUCCUACUUGGUUUCAGCUACUCACUGCACGAGCAACGGAGUGUUAGCCAUCCUUCCACGGAUUCCCAAAUCACUCCCAAUCCCCCUCCCCGGGUUAGACUGGACUUAAGGUUCGGCUACACUCCCCACAAGCACAAGCAGCCAAGCACACCAAGCUUCCAGGUUCCUAACAUCCCUUGGUACCACAAGACUUGAUCAUGGGACCCUCUAAAUCCCAAGUCUUGAAUGCAACACUUGCUUCGGGACGCCGGGGCGAAACACCGUGGCCUAGCGGCCCGGUAUGGGUACCUCUACCCCCCUCCACUUCCAUCCCGAAGGAAGGCCCAAGCCCCUAGGAAGGGCGAGGACCAAUGAGCCGCAUGGUACUCAAGUGGGGCACCACUCCACAUGAGCCGGGAGCACCACAAUCGGUUUCCCUUUCGGGAGUGGGAGCUGCUCUUGAGCACUUUCUUGGAUGGCCCCUCCGGCACCAGCCAAGUCCAUGCUCACUCCCACCCAAGGCCCCUUGGUCCCAGUCUCAACCUCAAGUCGGUUUGGGAGCUCCACUGGAGAGUCCCUUCAAAACUGGUUCCUAGACCUCACUAUCCCUACUAUACUUUUGGAACCCCCUGCAGCCCCCCCCCCCCUGGGGGACGCACGCUUUGGGCUUUCACCCCUUGACCCGUAUUAGUAUUUGGACUUAGUCUCUGGCUCGAUCUCAAACCCGAUUUCGGAUCCGACUUCGGAUUCGGUCUCGGACUCGAUCUCAGACCCGAUCUCGGACCUGAUCUUGGACCCGACCUCGGACUCGACCUCGGACUCGGUCUCGGACCCGAUUUCGGAUCUCGAACUCGGUCUCGAACUCGGACUCGAACUCGGUCCCUGAGUCGGUCUCGGACUCGAUUCCGGACUCUAUCUCGAACUCGGUCCUAGAGUCGGUCUUGGACUCGAUCUUCGACUUGGUCCCAUCCGAUGAACUCUUUGUCAUUUUGGUCAUGCUUUCGGGGUUCCUUUAGCCUACGACACCUCGGCGAGUUGGUUCCUUACACAUAGUCUCUCCAAUAUAGAGACUCAUUCGACCACCUAGGGUGGUUUACUCCCUUUUAUUGGUUCAAUUCUUGCUAAACCUAUUAGAGACACCUUCUCUAACCCAAUCCCAUUACUCAUUCCCGAGUAGUCUCAAUUCCCAUCAAUAUAAACUUUGCACUUUGGAACUUUUAAUUUUGACUUCUUAGAGUCAAUUUCCUAAGUGUCUCCGACACCUUGCUUUGCACAUUUUGUGCAUCUCCACUACUUCAUCCUAGGAAGUUCUCUACUCAAGGGCACCAUUAUCCUCUUUUCUAUUUUGUGUCACUAUUGGCACUACAUUCCAUUUAUCAUUAUUUGUGCUAGGGCUGUCCACGGCCUUAUCUUUUGGCUACUUUACUACUCCCUCACUUGGAGCUUUUAUUUUGCCAAAUUGAAGCACUUGGGAAUCCAUCCUUGGAAGUCCACUUCCUUUCCCACAAUCUGUUAGCAUCAAACACAUUAAUGUUCCUUGGCUAGCUUUGCCAUUUGGAUUCCUUCCAAUGAAUUCCAUGGCCCAAACUUGGCCAUUAGUCGUUUGCUCCUAUCUGUUAAUUGUUACACUAAGCAACAUAAGCUCACUACCUCCAUCCUUGAGGUAUUCUUUUGUUUCCAUGGCAAAGGCUCCACUUUACCAAGUCCAGAGGGUGCUCACCCCUAGUACAUCUUAUUAGUAUCUUCUGCUGUGGGCUCCAUCCACGGCCCAACUUUGUGACCCUCCCAUGGGUCUUUUAUAGAGACUACUUUUUUCGGACUCACUAUGCCAUCACAUUAAUUCCCUUAUAUGUUCUUCCCACUUGGUCACCUUGACCAAGCCACACCAUCAUCAAUAUUUCAAAUUAACAUUUUGAACUAGGAACCUUAUUCCUUUACCUAAACAAAAAUUUGUCCUUAUUUAGCCACAAGAUCACCUAAUGAUCUCACCUUGGUCACCUUGACAGGUUUACCAAUAGAUACUAGGUCUUCUAGACCUUUAACUUGUUGACCAUGACCCUGGGGGCAUCUCCCACACUUAGCAGUGUGCCCAAGCUAACCCUUCCGACCAAGGGUCCAUAGCAACUGAGACUAGGUGUCCCCAUUUCAUUCACCACGUCCUUGGUGCCACUUGCACCAAAGUGUUCAAGUUAGAUAUGCCAAGCCAUACUAAACAAUCUAACUGUGCAUCAUGACUCUGGGGCAUCCCUCCUCUUGGCGGUGUGCCCAAGCCAGUCUCCUUACUGAGAGUCUAUGACCAUUGAAAAAUGAGUGUAAGCUCUAUUUCGUUAAAGUGGGAAUUGUCAUUAUCCCACUUGUAAAAUAAGGUUUCCAAACCUUUAUAUAGUAUAUAAAUAUAACAAAAUUCAACUGCAUUGAGGCACAUGCCAUUUUAUUUUAAACAAGGAAAUGUCUACUCAAUCACUUCUCCUCCCCCUGCCACUGCUUCACCUCUCUCUUCUCCUUGUCAUCGUCGUCCAAUUUCUUUCCAUCCUUUUAAUAUUGGCUCAGUUGCUCCGAGUCUAGGUGGAGCCCAAGUCCCCAUUCAAUCUUUACUUUCCCAUUAUUAAUAAAACAACUUCGUAGACUUCCAAUAACAUGCUGUAACACUUCUAGUAUAAUGCAAAUCCUCUCAAAGAAUUGUCUUUUAAUAUUAAUACAAUUGCAUGGAACACCAUGCCAUAAUAAGUUACAUUUUUAAAUAAAUACAUGCCAUCUCAGACUGUUAUUUUUUGCCUCCAACGCCUAUACAAUAAUCUUGGAAUUUCAUCACUCUCCACACUAUCAGGAUUUAAACCCAAUAGUAAUGCCAUCUCUUCUCUAAUACGUCCACGCUCAUGUUCAGUGGUCGAAGAACCCAUCCGGUUGAGCAGAUUAUGGAGAUGCGGAUAGUGCUUGGCUAGACAAUAUACAUGCCAUAAAUGAUGACUGGUGUCUGUCCGAUCAAAUGGCUUCUGAUAUACCGUUCCAUCUGCCAUUUGGUUGAUUUCUGCAGCCACCUCCUGGACUGGCCGGUUCUCUAUCACCAUCGCUCCAAGCCGUUUUGCAAGGUCCCCCAGAACAUACGGUUUCUUCUCCCUAGUUUCCAUACUGCAAGAGAUGGGGUGCACUGCAUAUGUGUGCGUGUUCGCUGCAGUUUUAAUCGGCGAGUCAUCGAUGAUGAGGAUUUCACUUGAGCUAGCAGUCCGGUUCAUCACUACAGCCUCUGGCUUGACGAAGAUGGGCUUGCUACCCCUCACAUGGACCAUAGUCAAGCAAUCCUCCUGCGUUAGGAGAAAGUCAAAUGGUAAUAUUACUCGCGUCUGAUCGUGCAUCAUCUGUAGCAACGUUAAUGCAUUGUGGCGCAUCAUGGAUGUCCAAACUCCCAAUUGCAAAUUGAACCCGGCCCUCUGUUUUAAGUGUCGCAUGGUCAUUAUUAGAUCCCGCAGUUUCUCCCGUGUGAUUAAUGUGAAUCUGUCUCUUUUGACCAACUUGCGACCGCAGGCUUUGGAGGGUGCAAUGACAUUCGAGGACGAGCCACGCUCAUGGGAGAAAAGGACACCGUUCAGAUCAAAAACGAUACAGUACCUUCGCCGUGACUCUGAAAUGAAAUGCGUCAGCAUAAAAAAUGGUACAAGUCAAUUUUACCAUCUACAAUAUUAGCGAAUGUUGCUCCCGAUGGUCGUUGAGAGGGUUUUGGUCGAGGAAACGUGAAGGGCGGAAAUACUCUCCUCUGCAAUGUGGGGUCAAUCGCAUCCGAUGGCGUGUGGGCACAUGCCAUUUCAGCUGUAGACUCUGGUACAACUGGCUCAACAGUGGCAUGGGGUGGUUCCGAUGGCGUGUGAUCACACGCCAUUUCAGCUGGUGCCUCCGUUGGCAAAGUGGACAUGACCGAACAAGCAGCAGGGGCGGUGUAGGGAGGUUCCAACGGCGCGUAGUCAGACGAUUGGGCACACGUUGAGUCCAUUGGAAAUGAGGAUACGACCGGCUCGGCGGCUGGGGCGGCCUCAUGUGGGUCCAAUGGCGCCUGGUCACCGUCAGUUGGAUACGUGGACAAGAUUGACUCAGUGGUAUGGGCAGCAUCAAGUGGAGCGUGGUCAGCUUGCUUGGCGUUGAUAUGGAUAGUAGCCUCCACCAGCUCUGAUGACUCUUGCAGCCAAGUAGAGUCCACUGGCGGAUCCAUAUGCAUGUCCAAAUAUCUCCCUUCGAUUGAGAUGGUAUCCUCCCGUGCUACUAAAAACAAACUCAUUAGCACAUUGAAUCGACUAUACUGUAUUUACCAUCAACUGCUAUUGAGGAACUAGGACCGAUAUCACUUGAGCGCACUGCUGAUUCUGAAGGAUUGGACAUACGUUUCGACCCUUGCUUGGCACUAUCCUUCCUCGACACUAAAGGCUAGAGUUUGUAAAUUCAACUGAAUAAUCUCUACUUACCAUUUGCUCUGCGACCUACAUGGACAAUGUUAGAAAUGGUAAAAGGUUAGGAAUGGAUGUAUUAUUAUUUACCUGAUGGUUUGUCUUGUAUGACCUUCCUCCGCCGCUCUUUGGCCACCUCAGGCUGGCCAUCGUCGUCAUCAUCGUCGUCGUCGUUAUUGUGAUCGUCACCAUUGUGAGGACCAUCCAAGUCCUCUUCGUCCUCCUCUUCUUUGUCCUCCUCUUCUUUGUCCUCCUCUUCGUCCUUCUGCUCUUCUUGCUCAUUAUCUUUCUCUGGCUCCUCAUCCCCCUCCUGCAUUUCUUCCAUAGGCUGCUCAGGCUGGAUGGCUUGUUCUUCCAGGACCAUCUUGGGAAAAUCAUCUGGCCGAGUCUCCAUCUCAAAAUACAAGACAUCCAUAGCUUGUUUUAGUGCGUGACCUAGGACCGUAUCCUCACCCGACUGUCUUAACAUGGUUUCUGCACGUUCUUGCACCCUUCGAAGACGACGAGAUGAGAAAAACGUGGCCCUGCCUUGAAAAGCUUCCCUCAUCCAUUGUACCUCUCCAUUGAGAUUGGGGAAGGGGAGUCCGCCAUAGGAAUCUGAGUCAUGAGGUGGUGACUGCCUGCUUUCACUCAGCCCUUGAUCUGCAAUGAAUGGCAUGAGCACACACGCCAUAACCGCGAGGCAUUACCUAUCAUCNNNNNNNNNNNNNNNNNNNNNNNNNNNNNNNNNNNNNNNNNNNNNNNNNNNNNNNNNNNNNNNNNNNNNNNNNNNNNNNNNNNNNNNNNNNNNNNNNNNNAAUCAAACGCCUCUGAUCUCGACGACUGUCCAACGUGCUUUCGCUUUUUAUGACCACUGUCAGUUUGAGCUUGGCUGGUGCUUGCCUGUUUUGCCUUUGAAGAAGUUUCUCCUGCAAGGAAUGGCAUGAGACCACACGCCAUUGCAAAUAUAAUUUGUACCUCCUUUUUUCCUAUUGCUUUUCUGUUUGUCCUUCUUCGAUGCGCCACCAGUGCGCUUUUUAGUCCUCGUGUCUAAAUAUUCACAACGAUCUAUAAUCAAAAUGGCGUGAGGCCUCACGUGACCUUACCUUGUGCAGGUUGUGAGCUCGGCCCAACAUGGGUAUCUUCAAAAGUAGCUGUUAACGCCGUUUCAGCAUCUGGGGGUGGCCACGCUCCUGCAUACAGAGCUUGUGAGAUAACAUUUAAACUUAAAGUGUGUACUCACCAGGUUCGCAGAGAAGAUACUGUUUUUCUUUGGCAACUGUAAUUAUAUGCUCCAUUGAAGUCAUCUCUUCAAUGGAGUUUGUCACCGCAACACAAGGGACACCCUUGAGUAGUGCGGCUCGAAAGAAUAGUCCGCCGCAGUUGUACUCGACAACGCAUUUGCCCUUGGAGUCGGAAGCAGAUGACCCACCCGCUAUUGCGUUGAAGACCCAGCUGAGCAUUUCCCAUGCUGCACCUGGAGCUUUCUUUGGAUUCGAAAGCUCCAUAGCCGUCUUCAGUUCCUCAGGCACGGGUAAAUUGACCUCCCUCAGAUCAAUUCGAUUGGCCUUGUCGAACGAAGCUGGGAAGUCACUCCAGUCCCACUCUGCUGCAGGACCAAUAACAAGGGCGAGUGUGAAGAUGCGGACAUUCGUCGGUAUCUUCUUCUUAGCCAUUAUCCCAUGGAUCUCCCGCAUCUCCUUGCCUUUCAACCGAGCCUUCACCUCGUUCAAGGCCUUCCAGAACUUGUGAUAGGAUUCGGAGUCGUAGAUCAUAUAGUGGACUGAAGAUUCCACCUCCGCAAGUCCCACCAUUAAGUCAAUGAUGGAGCUGACUUCGUCUGCAUGAGUGAUCUCCUCGUUUGUGAAGUCCAUCACACAAAAGAUGUUCUUGACCUGCUCAUCUCCGCGGGAAACGAUGCUCCUCCACCUUUGAUCCUCAUCCGAAUUCAAGUAUACCCGGUAAGGUUCUCGAUAGGCCUCUGCUGCGGGGUCGAGCUGUUUCUGAAGCCGGCGGUCGACAUCAAUCUUAAUGAAAUUUGGAUACUGAUCCAACUUCUCAGCUUUACUUUUCGUGGCAUCCCGCAGCAGAUCGAUGAACUUGGGGGCCCCCUUCACGUACUCGUCGAUGUCUUCAUUUGACAACUCCAGCGCUUCCAUCAUCUCUUGCGUGGUGUCGAUGCUCACCCUCUCCACGGCCACUUGCUCGAAGAUCCAAUCCUUCAAUAGCGCACGAGCUCUCAGAGUCGUGCACAAGUCCUCGUAUGUCACAAUAUGGCCGGGAGUCAUUUUGGUCUUGUUGAAGACAACCUCACCACGUAGAAGAGCAUUAACCACUGUCAGAAGGUCGUCGUCGUCUAGAGACCGCGAGAAACGCAAGGCGUUGAGCUUCAAAUCAUUGGGCUUCCGGCCGUCCUCCACACCCAUUGAGUUUGGCAACUCCCCGUCAUGGUACCUCCUCAGCACAUCUACCCAUUUGUCAAAAACAACUUUUGUUGCGAGUAGAAUGUUAUGGAUGCUGAGUGUGUCAUUGACCCCCAGUGUUUUCGAGAGAAGACUCGAGAAUUCCUGCAAUGGAAAUGGCGUGAGGCCACAUGCUAUGCCACAUGCAACGAGGCUUACCUGCCAGGCGCUAGUUGCUAGUGCACGUCCUUGUCCUGGUUUUUGUGGCUUCUUCAGUUGAACCCAGAGCUUCCGUGUUCGUGCCAAUGUCUCGUGCAGACCCGAUUUGUAGCACGUUUCUUGCUUGACAUUCUGCGCGUGGGAGAUGUAUAUGAUAGAUCGGAGGGGCGAGUUGCCUUUUAUCAGGCGGACAACUCUUGUCUUGAAGACUUUCUUCACCUCCUCGCCCACCAUAAUAUCCACAACUAUCUCUUGCAUCGCCAAGCUAGAAUGCUGCCCGGAGACGGCAUAGAACCGGAUGUUCUGAUCGUCCAACACCUUCCUAUUGAUCAAGUCUGGAAACCUCGUCUCGCCCUUCAUUGUUCGGUAGUAGGGGAUCACGUCUGCGAUGUCGGGUGUUACUGGACUUGCCAGCAUCUUCUGCUUCAGUUUCUCCACCCACUCAUCAGAUACUAGCCUGUGGUUGUAUUUGCUUUGGAUGUCGAUACGGCUCACGUCGAUUGUAUAUACAUUGUUGGAAUAGUAACAAGUACUAUUAUCUGCGACGAUUUUUGCUGCCUCUUCUUGCUCUUUCUGCUCUUUGCGGCUCUUCUUUUUGGUGGGUGUAGUGUUCGAACCCGAGGCAAUGGCAUCACUGAGUAGCUUCUUUUUUGGAGCAGGAGAGUCGGACGUCGGCUUGAGCUUGACCACCCUUUUCUGCUUUGAGGUAGUUUCCAGAUCGACCCCCUUCCCCUUUGCUUCGCGAACUGGAGUCACUCUCAACGGCUCAAUGUUGGAAUAUAGUUUUUGAACAUCGCCGUAGGUGAGGUCCGUGGAUUCCAUGUGAUCUUCAUAGACCCGCAGCGUCUUUGAAAUUGUGGGCCUCCUGGACAACCUCUCCCUAGCUCCCUCUAGGAAUUCCUCAUAGCCGCUGCCCCCCUCCGGGAAGCCGCUAGGAUGUGCAAGGUGGAUCUUGAAGGCAGACGCUGUCUCUACCACAAGUGCCAGUCCAUAUUCUUGCAUGGAACUGCAUGGAGUGUCUGUCACUUGGAUGAGGAUCCCCAUGCAUUCUUUUCUCCCACCAUCUGUGUUGUACAGCCUCAGAUCCUCGCCUUCUAUCCCGAAAGUCCAACUGGUGAGCUCCUCCCCCUUCUCUGCAUCCACAUUGACAGUGGCUGGAAGAAGAACGCAAUUCCUCGCCUGUUCAGAAAUGCACAACAAUUAGAGCUGACAGAUGAAAAGCUAGUAGCUGGAAAUAACGUGAGGCCACACGCCAUUCACCACUGCAUCAGAUGUCUUGAGGCUGCAUCCUAAGAUGGCGUGAGGCUACACGCCAUCUGUAACCGGACUGCACUCGAGAGCCCAAUCGGUGCAUGCCAAUGUUGCUACUGAAUGGCAUGUGGCCUCAUGCCAUUUUCUACUUGGCCUAAAAGACUUACCAUUUGAAGCCGAAUGGAGGCGUGACAACCGGACUCGCUGGCGAAUGUGCACUGUGUGUGCAGCGGAUUGUAGCAGCAAGGCUACUCUGCCACUUACAGUUGGAGAGUGGCGCUGAAAUCUCCUGGGACGCCAAGUGGGCUGCGUGUGGGUGGCGGAGUGGGCGGCGGAGUUGGCGGCGAAGUUACAAACUGGGUGUGUCUUGAAGUGGACGCCGAUGCACACGAGCGCGAUGCGAGCACGAGUGGACGCCGAUGCACACGAGAAACCUGUAGAGAAGUGGGAGCGCGAGUGGGAGCGCGAUGCGAGCGCGAGUGGGAGCGCGAUGCGAGCGCGAGUACGAAGCAAAAUGCAAAACCUAACCUCACACGCGCGAAAUGUCACGACGGUUGGUAAUCCCGCCACGUCAUCAUUUCUCGGACUUGGGCGCCACCAUUAAUUUCUGGAUCGGCGCGCGCAUGCGUGAAAUCCAAAAGAAAUCCGCAACGUCAUCAUUCCUCGGACUGCAUGCACGCGAAAUCCAAAAGAAAGAUCAUGAUUGGGAUAUCAUUUAAUACCCUCGCUAUAUUUAUACCAUGCAUGAUUGGAUAUUCCAAAGCAUCUUGUAUUUCCAAAAAUGCCAGAUGUUCAGCUAAAUAAAUUGUCAGAGGAUUUGAUGUGACGUUCAAGCAUGUGGGCUCAUGCAAUUUUGAACCAAAAAAUGCACCAAAAAAUGCUCGGCGUCAUCUGGCGUUAUCUCUUGAAUGGCGUGGGGCCGCAUGCCAUUUUCAGGAGCACAUAGGAGUAUAUUCCUAGAAUAUUCUGACACGCGCGAGAUUGUUUUGAGUUUCCUGGAGAUCCAACCGUUAGAUCGCAACUAGAUUUUACAGAAUGGUAUACAAUGUCCUUCUUGAUGACCCUGCAAAGAAGCAUCUCGAUCGGACACCACAUGAGACCACACGAGCCUUACAAUGUUUCAGGGGCAUUUGCCAUAGAUCCGACCGUUAUUUUGCUCCAAGAUUCUACAGUUUGGUGUGCAUUGACCUUUCCAUCGACACUGCAAAGGGACAUCACAAUCAGAUGCGGGAUCACAAGAAACCAACUUCACUAACUCUAGUUUCACCAAGAUCUACGUAAGGAGUUAUGAAAUGAAAGGACCCUCUCUAUUGAAAUGUGUUUAUGGUCCUAAGGGCAUUGUGACAUAUCAAAGGAUUUUGCAUCAAGUUCUGUAUUUGCAUGUUUAUCAAGCUACUGAAUUGCUAAACCCUAAACCCUAAACCCUAACCCUAAACAUGUGGCAAAUGCUGCGUGAAGAAAGAUGCCCUUUCUGGGCAAAUGCUGUAAGAGGCAGAUGCCGAGCAGAUGUAUCUCAGGCUAGCGAAGGGGAUAAACGAAAGCUAGCUAUAAACAUGACGGGAUGCAAAUAGAUUACUAGGCUGGUCCUGCGAAAAUCAAAAACCAUAAUUGAAAACAUUGAAAAUGCAAAAAGAAAGGUUUAUAAUAUUUUUGAAUUUUAAGCAACCAAAGGAAUGUAAGUAGGGCAUGUGUUUGUAAGUUUAAAAAUGCCUCAGCCAUAUAAAUUCCCAAGUAAAUAAAGUUGUUUCUAUUUUUGGUACAGGUAAACUUUAUAGCGUGUGGGCUCAUGCAAUUUUGAACCCAAAAAUGCACCAAAAGAUGCUCGACUAGCAUUAUUCUUUGAAUGGCAUGUGGCAUUAUAUUGCCAUAAAUGGACGUACACACACAGCAUAAUUAUUCCUUUACACGGCGAAUAAUCUUGGCGCGGAUCGCUGACAUGGCAUGGCAAAGUUCGAAUCACUGACAUGGCACAGCUGGAUCGAGGCAAGGACAUGAUGUGACAAAGUUCAACCUCCGACAGCAAAGUCUAGAAGCUACUCAGUUUGAAAUUUGUCAGAGGAAUCAUAAGAUCUGGUUUGUCAGAGGAUUUGAUGUGACGUUCAAGCGUGUGUUAUUUUUGAAUUCUCGAACUCAUUCCUAGGUCUAUCAUUUUUGUGCGCCGUGUUCUUGGUUCCGCUGAGCGCAGUGAGCGCUGCUUGUGUAAGCGGCGUUGUGAGCUGUGGUUUAUGCGUCUACGAGCGAUUGCGGCAUUGCGAGCGCCAUUGCGAGCGGCAGUUUAUGCGAGUGGCAGUUUGUGCGAGCGGCGCUACGAGCAGUUGCGGUGUUGCGAGCGGCGCUACGAGUAGUUGCGGUGUUGCGAGCGGCACUGUCUUUGGUGUGGCUACCGCUUCCUCUUGAUAUUCGGCACUUGUGCUUCCUGGUAUGUUCACCAUGGAAUGGUUUAGGACCACAUUUAGAAAUGGCAUGAGGCCACAUGCCAUCUUGGGCCCUUGCAAUUUCAUGGCUAGCGUAUUGUCAUGUAUGUUUUUACUUGCCUGCAGCUGUGUGUAUAUCAAGAUGGCAUGAGGCCUCAUGCCAAUUUUGUGAAUGCGAAAUUUCAUGUGGGUGUCAAUAGCAUGUUUGAAUAAUGGCAUGUGGCCUCAUGCUAUUGAGGUUGUUUGGUAUGUUAUGAUUUAGGCCAUUCUCCAAUCAUUUUUUGUAUGGUCUUAACUUCUUUUCUGCACUUUCAGAAUGGCCUUCAGGGUUGGGGAAAAGGUUUACAUUUUGAAUGGUGGGAAGAGAGUUGCAAAAGGGACCCUUGUGUCUAUGGAUCGGAACUUUGUUAUACACUGUCAAAGGCUUGGGGAAGGCAAUGCUGCUGUAUCAGUAGAGACUGUCUUCGAUGGGAAUGUGGUCGCUAUUGAACGAGGAGAGAUGGUCGUCGGGGUAAAAGUUGUUGUUGCCUUGAAAAAUCUUCAGAAGAAAGCAGAUGUUGGGGACAGCGCAAGUGCGACGCAUGUUCCCUCCGUGGAUCUUAAGAACCGUGCUACAUGGAUUCAGGCAAAGGUGUUUCUAAACAACCCCGAAGGGGAGGUGGUAGCUGAGGGCUUAGCCACAGUUGUCGAUCCAAGAGAUGCGGUUGCUAAUCAAGAAUUGGGCUGGGAUGAUAUUGGAGUUGCAAUUUUAGAGGUUGUUGACACAGAAGAAAACAGUCUGACUAUUGGAAGCAUUGUGCGGUGGAAAUUGAGGCAUUUAGUGUUUGAGAAUGUGAAGGAUUCACAAUCAAACACCACUACAACUGAUGACAGAACAUCUCUUCAUGGGAAAAGAAAGUACACCUUCCUACAGCGCAGCCAAAGGGAUCUGAGCAACGAACCGAAAAGGCAGAAAAUGGCGAUGGAGGUUCGAAUGGUCUCGACAGUUGCUUGUUGCAAGAGGAGGUGCUGUCAACAUGCUGAUUGGGAUGCUAUUGAAGAGGAGAGAGCAAGAUACAAGACAUUGUCCUGGAAGGCAGCUCGCAAUUUUGUGUAUGAGGCAUUACGGUCAUCUGUUGAUGCUUCAGAACAUCAGGUGGGGGGCAUGGUCUUCCAGAGGGGUUUGGUCUGCAUGAAGGCAUGGAGAAUCAUUUAUGGAGUCCCUCGAACCACAUUCUACAGAAUCAAAACUGAGUUCGAGGAACAAAGGGUUCAACAGGCAGUCCAUGGGAACGACGGUACGCACAAAACCAGGGGUCAUGUUGUAUAUGGAGAGGCAAUCUUCAAGAGGUUUGUCGAGACAUGUAGCGAGCAGCAACCACAUAAAACCCGCCUCUUGGAAGAUGGAACACGAGACACCCAACAAGUUCUCCCUUCCAUGUAUACCAAGGGGGCCAUAUUGGAAGAUGUGAAUCGGGAACUCCAGAGUAAUGGCUACAGGAAGCUGAGCCAAUCUAGAUUUAGUAGAUUGUGGAGCAACAGGUUCAGGGAUGUGAGUAUAGGAAAGUACUCCAGCUUUUCAAAGUGUGACGAGUGCACUGCUAUCAAAAUGGCUUUGUCGAAGAAUUCUUGCAGCGCUCAAGAGCGAGAGACGUUGGUUAGAAGGCGGCUCGACCACAACAUCGAGCAGAGAAGCUGCAGGACUGCAUAUUAUCAUAACAGGAUUCUCUCCAUGGAGAGACCUGACUCUUACCUCUGCAUCAUCCACAACAAAAUGGAUCAGAAAAAGACGUGCUUACCUCGACUCAAUCCUGCCCCCAAGGCAAUCUCUUCAUCCAUGCAGCUGCCUGUGUCUCUGUUUGGCAUAAUCGCUCAUGGGCAUGGUGCCCAGAACUAUGGGAACUUCUUUGUGCCUCUAUGGGGUGGCGGGGGUGCAAACAUGAUGAUUGCGUCCUUAGCAAAACACUUAAGGUCUCUGCAAAGUGCGCAGACUGAGCUGAACGGCCAACCCUUGCAUAAGGCCCUUGUCGAUCGAACCCCAUACAGGGUUCAGCUGGAGGAGGAGCAAAGGCUUGCAGUAUCGCGUGGGGCCCCAUGCCAUCCUAGUGAAUAUGUUGGCCGUCAGAUUGUAGGGUUAUCACGUGAGGCCUCAUGCCAUUACGACGAGGCUGGUCGCCCGGUGAAUGCACAGCCUCAUCCAAACGAAGCAGAAUCUCAAGGAAGUUCUUGCGGCCGAUGUGGCCUUCCACCCCAUCUUCUGCUCCAAACAGACAAUGCUGGCAGUGAGAACAAAAACAUGUACGUCUUCGCGUACUUGGCGAUGCUUGUUGCCAAAGGCAUAUUUGAAACGGUUACACUUGGCUUUCUCAUGGUUGGGCACACUCAUGAAGACGUCGAUGCCAUGUUCAGUCACCUGGCAGAGUCCCUCCGGCGAUCCAAUGUCCUCACCCUCCCACAACUCUACGAUGAAUUCCAAAAUUGCAUCAAAGGCACUGUUGAAGCUGCACUUGUGACAGAGGUUCCAGACUUUAAGGGGUUUGUAAGAGGCUACAUCAGGGACGGAUCCGAAACGCUGAUUGGCCACUCCAAGCCUCUUCAGUUUCAUUUCAGCAUGCGUGACGGUGCUCCAGUGAUGAGGUACAAGAUGAGAGAAUGGGACACAGUGUGGCUGCCAGUGGAUGGCAUUGAACUCUUCAAGAGAGAUCCCAUAAUUGGGGAACCUAUGAUUCCUCAGGGUUCCCCACGGCCGAUGCACCCGGAUGGACUCAAAGACCAGGAAAGUAUAGUGGCCGGGAUUAGACAGCAUAUUGCCUUCUGGAAGAGGGGGUUGGUGUUUGGUGGAGAAUCCUAUUUUAAGAGGUGCAAGCCUUUGCUCGAAUACUGGGAGAAGAUUAUAUUUGCUAUCCAAAAUGGGCCGGUUGUAUAUGAAGAAUUGGAAGAGUCCUUUUGGCCAGAACCCAGAGCACCAGAUAGUAGCGGAACAAUGUCCUCUGGAAAUGCAGUGACAGAUAACGAUGUUGAGGAUCACUAUUGUGGGCCGAGGAACAAGAAGCCGGAUUCAGCAUUCAAUCCAGUACAGGUCUGCAAAGGAAUGGUCGUGCUUGUCAGACCCAGUAAUAAAAAACAAAUGAUAUAGGUGGGGCGCUGCAUCACUGAUGCAGAGGAGGACGCGGAAACUAACUCCUUCAAUGUAACUGUGGAGUGGUUCAAGCCAAGUUCCGGAUAUACGAAGGAUUGCCUAGAAAAGAGAUGGGUGCUGAAUCCAAGGGAUCCCAGCAUGAGCAUAUCGGUGGAUAAUGUUGUGCAUGGUUGGAUGCGGAAGCAGAGUGCCACCAUCACCUUGCCAGACCAUGCAAGAGAUGCAGCAAGAGCAUUCAUAACCCGGGUUCAAGGUGAGAUUCAUUAAUAUUCCUUUACUAAGUUUCUAAUGUAUUUUAUUUCAAGGUGAACAAUCCGAAUCUGAAUCAGAGGAGGCGUGAUGGCAUGUGGCCCUUUGCACUAGUAUAUCUUAAUACCGGUCUGAGAAAUAGAAUGGCAUGUGCCCUCAGGCCUUUUACUAAAUCACCUUUGAAAGAAAUGCAAGCCUCUAUGUCGUAAAAAAAAGGUACUAGAGAAAUUCCUUAAUAAUAUGAAUGUUAUUUAGUUUCAUGAAAAUACACUAAGGGUCAAAUGAGUUAAAUGACUUCUCCAGACUAGCAAUGCCUCUUGCUACACCUUCACAAUUAGAUUCGUUAGAAAAAGAUAACAUUGAAUAAUAUCUAAAUGUUCUCACCAUUAAGUUAUAUGUCUGGCUAAUAGGAAUGACGUUCAUCUUGGAAAGCUCACCACACGCUCAAUGAACAAACAAAUAGUGUGUGCGCGCAUGCCAUCGCUCUUCUUUAGCUUCAGAUUCGGCUUGUUCACCUUGACAAUGAGAUUUAUUAUACAACCAGAUGGACUCAGUCUGGACACAAAGUCACCGCGCUAGUCACCAUGCCCCAGAUAUGUCUAGCCCCUGGACAAAAAACAUAUAAUUUCACGUCAUUUUCAAAUACUUGAAAAUUUGUACCUAGUCCCAUUUUACUGAAUAAAUCCCACUUUAACGAAAUAGAGCUUGUGUCCUCAUUUUCCAAACCAUCACCGCGCCCUAGUGAUUUGGGACUCAAACCCAAGCACUAGAAGGUCAGGACUCAAACCCAACCUCCGUAUAUGCAUCUACGGAUGACAUCACCCAGGAUGCCUGGCGUGACUCCCCACGCCGGUGCACCAACAUAUACUUAAAGUGCGCUACAGAUAAUAGUUUAGGAAUCUAGUUCCUCCACACUACCAAGUCCUCUCAUUUUAUAAGUCUGUGAUCAUGCAUGGACUCUUCCAUGCUUGGCCCCAUGGGCCACCCUUAUAAAAGUUAGCACCUUCAACUAGGGGGUUUGUUCCCCUGACUUGCCAAUUUCACUACACAAGUCAUCCAACCAACGUAACAUGGUUUCAUGAAAGUCCUUGACUAUCAACUUUCGUUCAAAGCCAUCCCUUUGAAAACUUGGAGACUACUUCCCUAACGUUGAUAGCAUUUCCUCAUGGCAAGCUUCAAAAUCACGCUUCAGCUGCACCACUCUGAUUUUGCGCGUUCUAUGAACCAUUUACCCUUGGCUUUCUAAGUACUAAGCUGCUUAGAAUUGUCUUUGGGAACCUUGAAAGAACUCUGUCCUUUAGCUUGCUAAGGCCUCUCUUUUCGCAAGCUUUCUAAUUGCCAUAUGGUCUAACAUAGACCAUUCCAUGCUUUAGACUCUCUAUGGCAUCACGGUUACUAAUGACAACAUGUUUGAGCGCCCAUUUGAUUCUCCACUCCCAACUAGCAUAACCAUCUUUGGUUAUGCUCUUUAAUCCCUAUACUUUGGUUCUAUCCCCUUCCUACUUGCUUUUGGCCUCACAUCUUUCCUUUAAUUAUUCUCCUCCAAACUAGGAGGAUAGCUUUGCACUUUCUACCAUGCCUUAGCAAGUAUUCUUAAGGAUGAACCUACCCGAUAGCUUAGGGAGUGGUUUCUCAAUCCGGAUAUCCUCACCUUAUAAUCCCACACAUUGGGAUUAACAUUGCCACUUAUGGGCUUUUAUAUGCCCAUCACUAGCCUUGCCAAAAUUCCAUUUUUGGCUUUGUCCAAUUCGGGUAGAUGGACUUCUUCCAUCUCCACUACUUUGGACAUUUGGAUAGGACCUUUUAUCCAUCAUUCGCUAGGGAUUUAGUCCCUUUGGGCUUUAUCUAUUGCCCUUGCAACAUCAAACAACACCUCCUGGUAUUCUAAAGUGUUUAGGUGUCCCAAAUAAUGGCCUCUUUGACAAUGGGCAUUCUCUUUAUGAUAUUGACUUAUUAUAUCACAACAUAAGCAAUUCAUUCCCUAUAAGGGUAGAUCUAACUUUCUUAUCCCAAUAAAAAGUCUUAGGUAGUUACCUUCUACCAGUUUCAUCAAUUAUUUUGCAUCUUUUUGCUUAGUUGCCUUAUAAUUGUCAAAUCUUACAACUCAUUGCUGGUGCUUCCACAUCUCCAUCCUUGUUUGGGUCACCAUGCUCUACCACAUACCUUCCAGCUUAGGCUAUGCCAUUCCUAUUUCUAUUGGGAUUCCCUUGGCAAAGGGUUCUCAUGAACCCACCAACAUAACCUCAAGGUAUCACACUUUGGCACAUUUGGUGUCUCCACACUAUCGGCUCCGCGAGCCUACCUUUAUGACACUUGCACUCGUGUCUAGGUCUUUUGCAAAGACCAACACAGUCGUUUCUCAUGCCAACUAUCCGUUAGCACUUCACCACAGUGUUCUCACACAACUCUGCACCAAAGUUGCUUUCUUCUGGGAACACUUUUCCCAUGAAUUUAGUAUGGCUCAUUCUACCACCCAUGAGAUACUCGCUUGUCUGUCCGUAUUCACUCUAGUCUUGGACUUCCCAGUGGUUAUCCCAUCACCCAACAUCUAGGCAUAGCCUUCCUGGGCCAAACUAGCCUUUCUUGGCCAAACUGGCUCCACUGGAAUCCUCCCCCCACUAUGCUUUUGGAGCUCACUAAACCCCUAGGGUCUGGGAGAUGAAUGCUUUAGGCUUUCACCCUCUUAGACUCGAAGUCGGACUCCGACUUGGGCUCAGUCUUGGCCUCAGCCUCAGUUUCAGUCUCGGUUUCGAUCUCAGUCCCGGUCUCGGUCUUGGUCUCGGUCCCGGUCUCAGUCUCAGUCUCGACUUCAGACUCCAUCUCAGGUCCUUCUCGAACUCCAUCUCGGAUUCCAUCUUGGGUCCAUCUCAGACUCCAUCUCGGAUUCCAUCUCGGGUCCAUCUCGGACCGCAACCCAAUGGUUUGGCGUGUUGCCUCCCGUUAAACACCAUCCUGAUUCAUUCUCUCUCCGCUUACCUGGCGAUGACGUGGACAAUGAUUGGAGGGUGCGGCAGCAUUUCCAUGACAACAUUGUGUGGAUCACUGUGAAGAAAGAUGCUUCGGAGGACGAUCUCAAGGCCCAGCUCCUCAACGCUCUUGAAUGGGGUGAAAUGAAAGAGAGGAUUUUAUAGCAGGGCCAUCCUCUGGCCAGAUCCUGGUGACAACCAGAAAGGAAGGCAUUUUGCAUCCGGAUGCAAAGGCAUUUGCUGUGCAUGAGCUAUCAAUGGACGAAAGCAAAAAGAUGUUUUGGAAGUUUGCCUUCAGUGUGCAUGAUCCACAACCCAGUGACCCUGAUGUUGUGGGAUUUGCCAAGAAAAUAGCUCGAAAAUGUGAGGGACUUCCUCUCGCUCUGGAAGUGAUUGGCAGUGCCAUGGCUGUCCACAGAAGAGAAGGGCCACAUGUGUGGGAAGAACGAUAUAAGAGGUUGCACUUGUCCAAUGACCCAGAUGUUGAGAAGCAGAUGUUCAAACGCUUGAAGUUCAGCUAUGACGAGCUGGGAAACUAUGAGGGUGAAAAGCUGCAAGAGUGCUUUCUCUAUGUGGCUGCAUUCCCACACAAAUUAAUUGAAUUUAGUUCCUUGAGCAAAUGUUGGAUGGAGGUUGGGUCAGAACUCUCACCCACAGCGAUUGUCAAUGAACUGGAACGGAGAUGCCUGGUCAAGAUAGAUAAGUCUUGGGGGUAUGAAGAAGCUCCUGGUUAUAUAAUCGUACACGAUAUGCUACCAUCUGACUCACUUUUGUUCCUCGAAUGUCAAGCACUUGAAGGUUUUUCAGCUUGGAAAUGCUCUCUGGAAUAAAAUGGAUCCUAGAGCAUCGCCACAAGCUCAAUACCUUGACACCUUGUAUGUGAUUGAUAAGACUGUCAUCCACAUUAGAAAGUCCUAUACAUUCAUCCAUAAGUAUAGCGCUUUUCAGCCUGACAUCACUGAAAUAUCUAAAAUCUACUUAGUGGACGCCCAUAAAGUGUAACAUUGCAUUACUGCCCCAGCUCUCCAACUUGGAAGAGCUGGAGCUGAGCCUUGAUUCAAAAGAGGAGUCAUCAGUUGUGGAUUUGACUGGAAUUUCACGUAAACUAAGACUUCUAGAUCUAAGAAUGACACAUGGUACAAUGAAGGUGCCAGAAAGCAUGGGGACACUGGAGCACAUUGAAACAUUGGUUUUACAUGCAAACAACAUUGACUUUGCCAGUUUCGUUGGGUUAUGGCAACUUGUCAACCUAACAAAAUGUCUAAUUCGUGUGAGAACCGUCAGCAGAGCUACUUGGAAACAAAUGUUUAUGAAAUCAAUCAAGCUUCAACAUUUUUCCAUCGUUGGGGUAGAAGACAGUGAAAGUAGUGAUGACAGCUUCGAAUGGUUGCAACUACGAUAUUUAGACAUCCGUGAUAUCAUAAACCUAUCUUGGUUGCCCCACGGCCUAGAAACAUUUUUUUAUUAAAUGCAAUCGUAUCCACUUCUUCAACCGGAUGGAUCAUUCCCAAGUCUUGAAAGGCUGUGGCUUACUAAUCUACGCAUUGCACAGUCAAAAUUCAAGGAUGAUUUGGCUGCCAGUCUUCCAAAUCUGAAAGAGUUGCACUUUUGGCUAGCUCCUGAUAUUGAAUGGGAGCAAUUGCCUCUCUUCACGAGAGCCUGCAUUUUCGUCGCAGCGCCCUGGAUGUACACGGCCUGGAUCCGCUUCUCACGCUCGAUGCGCAGAGUGAGAGGCAACCCCUGCGUUAAUCCGAGGCACGCUCCCAUUCGCCUCCCAACAGUCCAACCCAUUUGCUACGGGCUUCAGGAUCCAAGAGGGCAUUCACCACCUCAUCCAGCAGUUGCUCAUGGCCCCCAAACAUGGGAUCAGGAAAAACACGCCGUACAUAUUUUUUUGCAGGGCCUCUGUCUUGCGGGGAACUCCGUACGGCGAAGCUAGUGCUCGGCUGUAUCACUCUCAACCCUUCUCGCUCGUACCUUUCAAUUUUCGGAAGGAGAUCGUCCUCGUAGCUGUGUAUCAGCUCCGAGAUCUUGUCACAACGCUUCUCCCUGUGAAACAUCCAUAGAUCAUUUAGCUGUACUGUUAAAGCUCUCAAGUUUAUAUGCUUACUGUGAUCCCAGCAGUGCUUGCGCCUUGUCGUUCCAUUUUGUGACAAGAUUAAGACACUCCUCGGCUCCAUCAGAGUAGCGGAACUCUGGAUUCCGGUGCUUGUGAGUAUUAAACUUGUUAAGCAUGGCCUGAAUGCUGGUCGCCGCCUUGUCCAGCUUCGCAAUGUCCACAUUCAGCUCGUGUCCUGACUUUCGAUCUGCGACAGGAGAUCGUGGCAGGAGCUUAUGCACUCCAUAAUAGGAAUGGAGUCCUUUUAAAACCGUUGUUUCGGCUCUCUGGUACAUAGCAUGUCAAGCUUGCGAGCCUUUGAAUCAUUUGAGAGCAUAGCCUGUGUGGAACUUGUCUGCGUCAAUUCUCGACAGCAGAAGCAGCGAGAAGAAUUUAAAGUUCCAAGUGUAAGCAAACCAAGACUUGUAUGUACCUUGAAUGAAACUUAACACGAAACAAUUAGUUCGAUGCUUUACACCAAUCAAAGCUUUGAACAAAUAGCACAUGCUCCUACGCUUUCCCAAUACACAAAACACGGAGCACUGGAAAAAGGAUACGCGAUUACCCUUGAUAGCAAAGAAACAAACUCUACUUACAGUAUAAACCCCGCUUAUCGUCCUAAUUUUCAAAACCGCUCUGGCCACCACAGGCAAAACAUCACGCACGGGUCCAUUCUAACAAAAACCUGACCUUCAUGCCGCAACAGGAGAAUCCGGAGCUGAUCCAAUCGAAGAACCUUCGGGAUCCUUAGGCAAGGCAACGUAAUUCAUCAUCGGAGAGUAGCGUUUCACCCGGUUAACCUUUUGAUUGCUAGCCUUCGGUGCGGGUAAGAGCUCAGGGACUAUCGAAAGUCGUCGGUUUGCAUUGUUUCCACUCACGCGAAGUCCCACCUGUCCCUUUUUGGACGGCUUUGUGCCGUAGAGCAGCUCCUGCUCAGUUUGCAGUUGCUCCUGCAUUCUCUUCUCCUCCUGCAUUUAGCCAGUUAACGUCUUAACAGGCACUAAACUGCAGAGUUACCCUCAGUCGGCGCUUUUCUUCUUCUUUCUCUCGUCGUAGCAAGCUAUAUUCUUCUAGAAUUGCCAGUAGAGAAAUCUGCAAAGCACUUUCAGAAGCGUCUACGAAAUCACUUACGUACCCCGUUAUAUAAGAAGGGCCUGCCUCUUUCGUCCUCCCAAGACCGCAUUUUGGACUUCAAUAAUUCAAGAAGAUCUGCAAAAAGGUUGUGAAAACUGAGAAAAGAAAUAGCAACGCAUUGGGGAGUUUGGCCACGAUGACACGAGCUCUUUCUGCACGUUUUAGACUCAAAUGUGCUCCUCUGGUUGCAUUGAAGCGGCUUUCAUCCUACAAUCGAAAAUGAAUAAGUGAAAUAGCAUAACGCUCAUACCUUAUUGUAUUCUUCAAGCCAGCUUUCUUCUUCACACGCACUAAUCCACCGUUCCAUUCAUUCCAUUAUAUCUUGUCUGCCGAGUGAUUCUUCCUUCUCCUCGGCGAUACUACUUUCGAUUGUAGCAAGUAGUUCUGACAAGUCCACUAUCCCUGUGCACACGAAACAUCAGCCAGGAAAUGCACACAGAAUAAAUUUAUACCUGACUCCCGAUCGUCUUGGCUAAGUUCUCUAGCGUCUCAUCGCUAAUACUUCUGCUCUGGCCUGGAUCACAAAGGCUCGGAUGCACUUCCUUGACAGCCUCGGUGUAGUCUGCCCCCAACAGGACGCAAUAUCCCUGCAGAACCUCGAGAAGCUCUGAGAAUUUGUGGAGCCGGCUACUCUGGAAAUGUCACUUGUAAGAAAAAAGAAUGCCAACCGUGCCAAUACAAACCAACCUUUACAUCCUGAAGCUCUUGAACCUGGCAAUGGUACUCAUACAGCUUUCUCAGCAACAAACCUUUCCAAGAAAAAGCUCCAUUCUCGGCCUCUUGCAAUGCCCCUGGCGAUAUCUCCUGAGAGAGCCUUUGUAUCUGGCAUUGCACGUCCUCAAAUUGCUUCAGCCGCUCCUCUUUCCUCAGACGCAAGCAUUCUAACUGAGGUGAGACGGACAAGAGCUGCUCCCGCAGAGUAGUGCCGACCUCUUCUCUAACUGAAAGGAAGAACAACGGGCAUUGGAAAAGCACUGUGAGAUGGAUCAAACAAAGCAUACCGUGCAAGGGCGAUCACCCAGGAGCAACAGGAGCGACGCGAUCUCCGACUCGGAAUCCGCCAGCAGCUGGUGCAGCCCAGCCCUCACGCAAUUCGCUUGAUCCACCUUCCGCCGGUACACAUCCAGGCAUUCUUGCUCCAGCUGGAGCAGCAUUCUGUCCCUCUCCUCGUCGCCCUCCCCCAUCUCCUCCCAGAUGCUCUACGCGCGGCCGAUCCACCGCGAUCGUGAGAAACUGCAGAGGCAAUAUUUCGCGAGCACCCGAGGCUUACCUGGAGCUCCCGCAGCAGCGAUCAGUAAGUCGUGUCCUCGCCUUCCAUGGCCUCCAGAAUCAAAAUGCGCGUCCUUAGAUCAAUCAGCUCUCGACAUUCUUUGCAGCUGGAGAAAAAGUUCUAAGAUAAAAAACGAAGAAACAAUAGAAACAAUAGAAAACUUACCGCGUUCUUGGCCUUCUUCGUUCCAACUCUACUCACGAGCGUGUUCUUCCGAUCGAUCCUCAUUUCUCGAUCCACCUCGCGUUGCCGUAAUCCUUCAUGUACGAAACACCACGAACUCUAGGUUCCAUUCUUAACACCUGUGAAGAAAAAAGCGGCAAAAGGAACGAAAGAUGACCAUUCGCAAGAUCCUGGACGAGAAUGCGGUACCUUGUUCGAUACUACUGGCACGAUCUUCAGGGUAUCAAAAAGCCUGAGAGCAAACAUGGUCGGAUUCCAGGCACCGGCUUCACUGUUCGCAUUCGCUCCAACGAAAUCCACACCGAUGCGCCGAUCUUGGUCUUACUCAAAGCGGUGGAAGCACAUUCUUCCUGUAGAGGAGAAUACAUAACCUUGUUGAUCUGCGCGUUGGCGGUGUUCCAGUAGGAUGUUUUACUGGUAACGGUGGAUCAUAGCGCCUGCUGAGCAUACCGGCGAGCGAUCUAUCUCCUCAUCAAUUCUUGCACACAUGAAAACGCGAGACCUGGAAUACUGGUCAUCGACACCCGAUGCCGCUACACCGUCGUCAUGCAUCGGCUGUGCGAAAUUUGGGGUGCCCCACGAACCGGAUCGAGACUAGCAGCUCCGAAAAAUCCACAAUACCCUUGGAUGUGAUGGCAGCGCCGGGAACAAGACGCGCGCAGCGAGCAAAAGAACUCUUAUGGAUGGUGUAGCUGCUGGCAAGGCCGAGCGCCCGGACCAAACCAAUGGAUUGAUGCGCAGCUCCAGCGGCGCCAUUGCCGAUGCUGACCGCGCGGCGCACCACAAUCGACAAUCCCCGGAAUACGAGAGUCAUCCCCAUCCAAACGGGUUUACAAUCCUUCAACCCUACCGGAGAACAUCCGGGGUUCGAAUCCUGACAGCUACUAGCAACAGUCGCGGGUUCGACUCCCAGUGCUCCAGUGUGGAAAUGGUUCUAAAAUGGGUGUAAACUUGGGCGAGGCUUACUAGACAAUGAGCUAGGGCAAUCAACAAUAAGAGCUCCCGCAAUAUCCUUUAUUGCUGCCUUACUACAUCCUAAGAAGUCCUUGCUGAUCCGAUGCUCAAUCCUCUGUAACAAACCUUUCCCCGCCACGUUAGAUCUCCCUGCCAAGUCAUCCCUCCACAUGUUCUGUGUUAUUACCUUUUAACAAAUCAAGGUUAUUGUCCUACUGGCUCAUUAUUGGCUACUAUAGCAUUAUAGGCUCUUCUCCUUUCUCGGGUUUGGCACAAUCAAGGCUGUUGUAGCAGCCAAUAACAAGCCCGUAGAACAAAGUGAGGUAGAACAUGUGGAGGGAUGACUUGGCAGGGAGAUCUGAUGUGGCGGGGAGGGGUCUGUUAUAGAGGAUUAGGCUGCGGAUCAGUAGGGACUUCUUGGGAUGCAGCAGGGCAGCGAUAAAGGAUGUGGCAGGAGCUAGGGCUGGGGGGAGGAUUGGCUUGGAAACGGCAUAACAAGCAAGGGUGAUCAAGAUCUGAGCACAAUAAGGGCUUUGACCGGAUGUGGACUCUAGUAAGCCUCUCCCGGGCUUACGCCCAUUUUAUGGUGGAGAUGAGAGGCACCUCAUCACAUCACUGGAGUCUAUAUGAAUUUUCCUUUUCAAUUCCAUUUCUAGCAUGACUGAAAUUUUGAGCAUGAGGUGCAUUGUGCAGUAACAUGCCUGCGUGGAGGACAUGCAUGGCCAAAAGGACUUUCCUGGCUAGGAUAGCUAGUGUGACCAAGAGGUUUGGUCACAAGGCAUGGCAUCCAAACGUUGGAGCCGCCAUACAUCCAGCCAGGGGUUGAGGAAUGAGCUGAGCUGAGGAGGCCAGUGGUGGGGGGUGUAAGCGACUAAUUUUUUCCAUUCUACUAUAGUCACUUAACCGCACCUCCGACCACUUGGAGGAGUCUCAUUCACAACCUCCAUAAGUCCCACCCAAGACUUGGGGCUUGCUAGCCCCGAGAAUGACAUCCAUGCCACUUAACCUUUGCACUUGGUUCAAGUGCUCCACGUGUCCAGUCCCAUGACCGACACCCCAAGGCACCACCAACAUACCGGCCCGUUACGCUAUGCCAUGCCCAAUCACCUUGGUCACAUCGAUGGUCCAACACCACUUGCAUUGCAAUCCCGUCUCUCCAAGACUGGGCCAUCCAUCCAUGAGUGGUCAUCUUAGAUCCACUCCUUAGCAUCCUUAGGAUGCCCAUAGACAUGGGGAAUAGCCUUCCCCAAUAUCUCCUUUUUGGUCCCCACCAAGUCCCUCUCUGUCCUUGGCCUAAUUUGCCAACAUUGCCAUUGGAUCAAGGCCCACAGGCCCGACCACUAAGUCCCACGGUCCUCUAGGAUUUCCUCACCACACGAUUGUAUCCUUGGUCACUACACCAGAGGACUACUCCUCUUCCUUUCCACAGUCUAGGCCUUUGGGACAACAUUUCGGAACACCGUGGCCUUAUGCAAGCCUCGUGGGUACUUCUGCAUUUGGGUGCUCUAGCCAUGGGCUUAGAGCGAGGUUCCAUUGAGCCACGCAUGGUAUCCAAGUAGGUAGUGCCACCCACACUUGGACUGGGAGCAUCGGCCAGUCGAUCUCCCGGGGGAAUUAGAGCCGGCUCUUGAACACUUCACCAAACUACCUCGCUUGUCAAUCUGUGUUGGACUUCCCAGUGGGCAGCUCAUCACCCAACACUGAGUACAGCCUUCUUGAGCCAAACUGGCCUUUCCUGGCCAAACUGGUUCCACUGCAGUCCUCCCCUUACUAUACUUUUGGAGCUCACCAAACCCCCCAGGGUCUGGGAGAUGAAUGCUUUGGGCUUUCACCCUCUGAGACUUGAACUCGGACUUGGACUCGGACUCAGAAUCAGACUCGGACUUGGACUCGGGCUCGGUCUCGGCCUCAGCCUCGGUCUCGGUCUCGGUCCCGAUCUCAGUCUCGGUCUCGGUCUCGGUCUCGGUCCCGGUCUCGGUCUCGACCUCGAACUCCAUCUCGGGUCCUUCUCGGACUCCAUUUCGGAUCCCAUCUCAGACUCCAUCUUGGACUCCGUCUCGGUCCAUCUCGGACUCCAUCUUGGAUCCAUCUCGGACUCCAUCUCGGGUCCAUCUCGGACUCCAUCUCGGACUCUGUCUCGGUUCAUCUCGGACUCCAUCUCGGACUCCAACUUGGGUCCAUCUCGGACUCCAUCUCGGACUCCAUCUUGGAUCCAUCUCGGACUCCAUCUCAGACUCCGUCUUGGUCCAUCUUGGACUCCAUCUCAGACUCAUCCACGUGUCACAUGUUGGUCCUUUUGGGUCCCUUUUUGGAGCCUCGCUUAUUGCUCGCUUCGUACUUGUUCCUCGAGCCCUUCGCUGGGAGUUCCACUCCCGCUUUCGGCCUUUCAAAUCGGAGCUUUCGGUCCAAACGUGUUACACUCGUUUGGCUUUCGCUUCGGCCACUACCACGUGGCACCCUUUCGGCUCCACUUUGGGGCCUAGGGAUUUUGUGUCUCACAACUCCACCACCCAUAGAAGAAGUUCGAUGUCCUCAUCAAACAGUAAUCCCUUUUAUAAAGUAACACCCACAUGUAUUACUGUUCCCAUCCUUGGCACCUGGCCAAUAUUUGUCUAUGGUUUGAUACUGAAGGUUCACCAUGCCUUGUCCAUCCUCUAAGAGGCAUAGCCUCUCCAACUUAAAGGCUCAUUUGGCCAUCUGGGGUGGUUUGCUCCCUUUUAUUGGUUUAGUUCUCGCUAAACCUGUUAGAGACACCCUCUCUAACUCAAUUCCACUACUCAUUCUUGAGUUGUCUCAGAUUCCAUCAACAUAACACUUUGGAACUUUUAAUUUUGACUUCUCAGAGUCAAUUUCCUAAGUGUCUCCGACACCUUACGUUGCACAUGGUGCAACUCCACUUCCCCAUCCUAAGAAGUUCUUUACUUGAGGGCACCAUCAUCCUCUCUUCGAUAUCAUGCCACCUUUCGCACUAAGUUCCAGUUAUUAUAAUUUGUGCUAGGGCUGCCCACAGCCCUAUUAUUUGGUUACCUUACCGCUCCCUUUUUUAGAGCAUCCACUUUCGCUAAAUCAGAGUGGUUGGGAAUCCAUCCUUGGGGAAACAUUGCCUUUCUCACAAUCCGUUAGCACUCAACACAUAAGCUCUAUUUCGUUAAAGUGGAAAUUGUCAUUAUCCCACUUGUAAAAUAAGGUUUCCAAACCUUUAUAUAGUAUAUAAAUAUAACAAAAUUCAACUGCAUUGAGGCACAUGCCAUUUUAUUUUAAACAAGGAAAUGUCUACUCAAUCACUUCUCCUCCCCCUGCCACUGCUUCACAUCUCUCUUCUCCUUGUCAUCGUCGUCCAAUUUCUUUCCAUCCUUUUAAUAUUGGCUUAGUUGCUCCGAGUCUAGGUGGAGCCCAAGUCCCCAUUCAAUCUUUACUUUCCCCUUAUUAAUAAAAUAACUUCGUAGACUUCCAAUAACAUGCUGUAACACUUCUAGUAUAAUGCAAAUCCUCUCAAAGAAUUGUCUUUUAAUAUUAAUACAAUGGCAUGGAACCCCAUGCCAUAAUAAGUUACAUUUUUAAAUAAAUACAUGCCAUCUCAGACUGUUAUUUUUUGCCUCCAACGCCUAUACAAUAAUCUUGGAAUUUCAUCGCUCUCCACACUAUCAGGAUUUAAACCCAAUAGUAAUGCCAUCUCUUCUCUAAUACUUCCACGCUCAUGUUCAGUGGUCGAAGAACCCAUCCGGUUGAGCAGAUUAUGGAGAUGCGGAUAGUGCUUGGCUAGACAAUAUACAUGCCAUAAAUGAUGACUGGUGUCUGUCCAAUCAAAUGGCUUCUGAUAUACCGUUCCAUCUGCCAUUUGGUUGAUUUCUGCAACCACCUCCUGAACUGGCCGGUUCUCUAUCACCAUCGCUCCAAGCCGUUUUGCAAGGUCCCCCAGAACAUACGGUUUCUUCUCCCUAGUUUUCAUACUGCAAGAGAUGGGGUGCACUGCAUAUGUGUGCGUGUUUGCUGCAGUUUUAAUCGGCUUCUCACCUAACUUUGCCAUUUGGAUUCUUUCCUAUGAUUUGUAUGGCUCUUUUCUUAGCCACUAGUCUUUUGCUCCUAUCCUUGAUUGUUGCACCCAGCAACAUAGGAUUGCUACCUCCAUUUUCGAGGUUUCCUUUCGGUUCCAUAGCAACACUUUGCUUUGCCAAGUCCAGAGAGUGUUCACCCCUAGUACGUUUCUUUAACAUUUUCUGUUGUGGGCUCUAUCCACGGCCCAACUUUUGGGACCCUCCCUUGGAUCUCUUGUAGAGACUACUUUCCUCAGACUUACUAUGCCAUUGCCUUGACAUAGCUUAUUUCCCUUAGGUGUUCUUCCCACUUAGUCAUCUUGACUAAACCACACCAUUAUCAAUAGUUUAAAUCAACACUUUUGAACUAGGAACUUUAUCCCUUAAACUCACAAGGACUUUUUCCUUGUUUUAGCCAUAAGACCACUUAGUGAUCUAACCUUGGCACCUUAACAGGUUUGCCAAUAGGUACUAGGUCUUCCAGACUUUUAAGUUGUUGAGCAUGACCUUGGGGGCAUCCCCCACACUUGGCGGUGCACCCAAGCCAGCCCUUCCGACUAAGGGUCCAUAGCAACUGAGACUGGGUGUCCCCAUCUCAUUCACCACGUCCUUGGUGCCACUGGCACCAAAGUGUUCAAGUUAGAUAUACCGAACCACACUAAACAAUAUAACCGUGCAUCACGACUCCAAGGCAUCCCUCGUUUGGCUGUGUGCCUAAACCAGUCUCCUUACUGAGAGUCCAUGACCACUGAAAAAUGAGUGUCCUUAUAUUCCAAACCAUCACCACACCCUAGUGAUUUGGGACUCGAACCCAAGCACUAGAGGGUCGGGACUCGAACCCAACCUCCAUAUAUGCAUUUACGGAUGGCAUCGCACAGGAUGUUUAGCGUGACUCCCCACUCCGGUGCACCAUCUUAUACUUAAAGCGCGCUAUAGAUCACAGCUUAGGAACCUAAUUCCUCCGCACUGCCAAGUUCUCUCACUUGACAAGUCUGUGAUCAUGCAUGGACUCCUCCAUGCUUGGCCCCAUGGGCCACCCCUUUUGAAGUUAGCACCUUCAACUAAGGGAUUUGUUCCUUUGACAUGCCAAUUUUACUUAGCAAGUCAUUCGGCCACCGUAACAUGGUUCAUGCAUAAACGUGAAAGUCCUUAACCAUUGACUUUCAUUCAAAACCCUUUCUUUGAACACUCGGGAACUACUUCCCCAACCUCAAUAGCCUUGCCUCAUGGCCAGCUUCAAGAUCACGCUUCUGUUAUGCUACUUUGAUUUCACGCGUUCUAGGAACCAUUUACACUUGGCUUUCUAGGUACUUAUCCACCUAGAAUUGUUUUUGGGAACCUUUAAAGAACUCUGUUCCUUAGCUUGCUAAGGCUUUGCCUUCGUAAGCUCCUUACUCACCAUAUGGUCUAACGUGGAUAAUUCCACGUUUUAGACUCUCCAUGGCAUCGCAGUUGCUAGUAGCAACAUCCUUGAGCACCCUCUUGAUUCUCCACUCCCAACUUGCAUAACCACUGUUGGUUAUGCCCUUCGAUUUCUAUGGUUCAGUUCCAUCCCAAUACUACUUGCCUCUUGGCCUCAUAUGGUUAUUUUGGUUAUUCUCCUCUAGACUAGGAGGAUAGCUUUGCAUUUUUUACCAUGCCUUAACAAGUAUUCAUAGGGAUGAACCUACCCAGUAGCUUAGGGAGUGGUUCCUCAAUCUGGGCAUGCUCACCUUAUAAUCCCACACAUUGGGAUUAACGUUGCUAUUUAUGAGCCUCUAUAUACCCAUCACUAGCCUUGCCAAAAUUUCAUUUUUGGCUUUGUCCAAAUCAGGUAAAUGGAUUUCUCCCAUUUCCACAAUCUUAGACAUUUGGAUAGCCCCUCUUAUCCAUCAUUCGCUAGGGACUUAGUCCUUUGGGCCUUAUCUAAUGCACUUGCUACACCAAACACCACUUCUUGGUGUUUUAGAGUGUUUGGGUGUCCCAAUGAUGGCUUUCUUUGGCAAUGAGCAUUCCCUUUACGACAUUGACUUAUUAUUUCGCAACAUAAACAAUUUUUCCCCCAUAAGGGUAUAUCUAACUUCCUUAUCCUCAUUAAGAAGUCUUAGGUAGCUAUCUUCUACCUAUUUAACCAAUUAUCUUGCACCUCUUGCUUAGUUGCCUUAUAGUUGUCAAGUCCUACAACUCAUUGCUUGGUGCUUCCACACCUCCAUCAUUAUUUGGGUCACCACACUCUAACCACAUACCUUCCAGCUUAGGCUAUGCCAUUCCCUUGGUAAAGGAUUCCCAUGAAUCCAUCAACAUAACCUCAAGGCAUCACACCUUGGCCCAUUUGGUGUUUCCACACCAUUGGCUCCAUGCGUCUGCAUUUAUGACACUUUGCACUUGUGUCUAGGUCUUUGCCAAGACCAACCCAGUCGUUUCUCAUGCUAACUAUCCGUUAGCACUACACCAUAAUGUUUGCACACAACUCUGCACCAAAGUUGUUUUUUCUAGGAACACCUUUCCCAAGACUUUAGCAUGGCACAUUCUGCAUCGAUGAGAUACUCUCUGUUCUCAUCCUUGGAUCCUAUGAUCCCCCCCCAUCAUUCGUGGGGUACCACACACCUCAGUCCAAAUGCUUCUAUCAAUCCUUUAGGAUUAUUCCUUGACUCUAUUUGAGUCCUCCAGCUUUUUGGACUUUGUCAUCCGAUGACCCAUGAGGUCCCACCUUUGAGGUGCCAGCUCACUGGAAUACAACUUUUUGUAUUCAAGUCCUACUCACAAGGACCAUCUUUGCAAAUGUUACUCCGACAUUUGAUUUGUUCUCUUGGGGCAACCUUUUGCCCUUUAGGAUCACUUGUCCAUGUGAUGAGAAUACUAACUCAUCCUCUAAGUACAUCCUCAACUCCUUGGGUUGUUCCAGCAUUUAUUAGAAGUAGCCCUGGAUACCAUUUCAAAGACUUGUGUCCUCUUCCGUAUUUGACCUUCCACGGUAAUUAAUUCCAGUCUCAAAUUCAUUAGCACCAGCCUCAACUAUAUAAGGGUAAUCUUGUGACUCCUUUAUCGUUUUGGAGUCUAUAUCUUCCCUGCAAUCCCAACUAUAGUUGUUUACCACAACUAUGUUAGCCCGUUUGCUGAGUCAAACGCUCAUCUAGAUCACAUCCUCAACUCAAUGAGGAAAACCUUGCACUGUUCCCAAGAUCCCAAAGUCGUUCCAUUAUUAGCCUUUUUCUAUUCACCACCUCACACCCAAGUUCACGCAUGAACUUGAGUGGAGAGCCAUGUCCUCUCGAUAUGCUACUCCUCACGGAUAGGCCCACUCCUAGGACCUUCCGAUGCCAACAUCAAUGGCGAUAUACUUGAGCACCAAUAAAAGUCGGACUAAGGAACAACUCCGAUACCAAAUUGUAAGUGACUAAUUAUUUCCAUUCUACUAUAGUCACUUAACCGCACCUCCGACCACUUGGAGGAGUCUCAUUCAUAACCUCUAUAAGUCCCACUCAGGACUUGGGGCUUGCUAGCCCCGAGAAUGGCAUCCAUGCCACUCAACCUUUGCACUUGGUUCAAGUGCUCCACGUGUCUGGUCCUAUGACUGACACCCCAAGGCACCACCAACAUACCGGCCCGUUACACUAGGCCAUGCCCAAUCACCUUGGUCACAUCGGUGGUCCAACACCACUUGCAUUGCAAUCCCAUCUCUCCAAGACUGGGCCAUCCAUCCAUGAGUGGUCAUCUUAGAUCCACUCCUUAGCAUCCUUAGGAUGCCCACAGACAUGGGGAAUAGCCUUCCCCAAUAUUUCCUUUUUGGUCCCCACCAAGUCCCUCUCUGUCCUUGGCUGAGUUCGCCAACACUACCACUGGAUCAAGGCCCACAGGCCUGACCACUAAGUCCCACGGUCCUCUAGGACUUCCUCACCACACGACUGUAUCCUUGGUCACUACACUAAAGGACUACUCCUCUUCCUUUCCACAAUCUGGGCCUUUGGGACAACAUUUAGGAACACUGUGGCCUUACGCAAGCCUCAUGGGUACUCUCCCCGCCUUCCGCCUUUGGGUGCUCUAGCCAUGGGCUUAGAGCGAGGUUCUAUUGAGCCACGCAUGGUAUCCAAGUAGGUAGUGCUACCCACACUUGGACUGGGAGCAUCGGCCAAUCGAUCUUCUGGGGGAACUAGAGCUGCCUCUUGAACACUUCACCAAGCUACCUUGCUUAUCGGUAUGUGUUCACUCUAGUCUUGGACUUCCCAGUGGGCAGCUCAUCACCCAACACUGGGUACAGCCUUCUUGGGCCAAAUUGGCCUUUCCUAGCCAAACUAGCUCCACUGCAGUCCUCCCCCUACUAUACUUUUGGAGCUCACCAAACCCCCCAGGGUCUGGGAGAUGAACGCUUUGGGCUUUCACCCUCUAAGACUCGAACUCGGACUCGGACUCAGACUCGGCCUCGGGCUCGGACUCGGACUCGGCCUCGGGCUCGGACUCGAGCUCGGGCUCAGUCUCGGUCCCGGUCCUGGUCUCGGUCUCGACCUCGAACUCCAUCUUGGGUCCUUCUCAGACUCCAUCUUGGAUCCCAUCUCGGACUCCAUCUUGGACUCCAUCUCGGACUCCGUCUCAGUCCAUCUCGGACUCCAUCUCGGACUCCAUCUUGGGUCCAUCUCGGACUCCAUCUCGGGUCCAUCUCGGACUCCAUCUCGGACUCCAUUUCGGACUCCAUCGCGGGUCCAUCUCGGACUCCAUCUCGGACUCCAUCUUGGAUCCAUCUCGGACUUCAUUUCAGACUCCGUCUUGGUUCAUCUCAAACUCCAUCUCAGACUCCAACUCGGGUCCAUCUCGGACUCCAUCUCGGACUCUAUCUUGGAUCCAUCUCGGACUCCAUCUCGGACUCCGUCUUGGUCCAUCUUGGACUCCAUCUCAGACUCAUCCACGUGUCACGUGUUGGUCCUUUCGGGUCCCUUUUUGGAGCCUCGCUUAUUGCUUGCUUCCUACUCGUUCCUCGAGCCCUUCGCUGGGAGUUCCACUCCCGCUCUUGGCCUUUCAAAUCAGAGCUUUCGGUCCAAACGUGUUACACUCAUUUGGCUUUCGCUUCGGCCACUACCACGUGGCACCCUUCCGGAUCUACCCUAGGUGCUGAGGAAUGAGCUGAGCCAAGGCGGCUAGUGGUGGGGGGAUCUUGGUGAUCUACCCUAGGUGCUAGACAUGCUUGGGCCAUGGCGCCUUCCUUAUUUGGCAUGAACUGGAAGCAUGGCAUCUCCGCUGUCACAAGGACGGGCAUCUAGCCAUGAAGGGGACUUGAAUGCUCCACUCCCACUCAAGGAAAGGGAGGAUGCAUUUGAUUGGCUGUUUAAGGAACCACGAUGAGAGGCUGUUGGAGAAUGCUGACAACGAGCAUCUGGCUGCAGCCAUGGUUGCACUCUUGAAGGACCUCCAAGUCACACAACGAUUGGGCAAACUGUCAGCAGUAGUGGGAAAUGUUAUAAUGAGAAAGGAGCUUUUCUGCCCAGAAGUUUCACCAUCGGCUCGUGUCAAGUAUCCUAUAUACAAAAUGGGAGAAGACUUUGAGCUCUAUCUAGAGAUUUUCAAGUGUGCAGCACACAACAACAAGUGGCAGGGAGAGAGAUUAUGCAUGGCUCUAGAAGGGGAAGCACAACAAUUUUUUAUGGCCCAUCAGAGUGGAGUUGAAGAGGAAUCUUGGGAGGAGGCAAUUCAACAUCGCCACCACCUCUUCCAGCUUGGACAGCCUGCUGAACGUGCCUUCCUCAUGAUGAGGGAUCGCAAAUUCAAGAGAGGUGAGUCUGUGCAAUAGUACUAGGCAGCAUUGAUUUGGGCAGCUAGGAUGCUAAACAGUGACGCAGCAAUGGCUGAGGGUAUGGCAAAGUAGACAUUCUAUAUAAAAAAUGAGGUAAGAUUACAAGGGGAAACAUGUGGAAGUGUUUCCAUUUUAUCAGAGGGAAGAACUACUAAACCUGUAGCGAGCCUGUAGAACAAAGUGAGGCAGAACACAUGGAGGGAUGACUCGGCAAGGAGAUUUGAUGUGGCAAGGAGGGGUUUGUUACAUAGGAUCGGGUGGCAGAUUAGCAGGGACUUCUUGGGAUGCAGCAGGGCAGCGAUAAAGGACAUGGCGGGAGCUAGGGCUUGGGGGGAGGAUUGGCUUGGGAACGGCACAACAAGCAAGGGCCAUCAAGAUUUUAGCACAAUAAGGGCUUUGACCGAGUGUGGACUCCAAUAAGCCUCGCCCGGGCAAACGCUACACAUGUGACUGUCACCGUCAUUUUCUGUGCAGUGACGGUGAUAAAAUGAUGGUGGCACUAUACAUGUAACCAUCAUCCAUGUCAGACUAUUCUAGAAUAUUCUAAAGUCAAGUUAUGCUGAUUUGUCAUUGAUCAAUGUCACAUCAUUAGGGUUCAGGUGGGAUGAACAAGGCAAUGGCUAUGGUUUCUAUGGUUGUUGCAACUGUUGCUGCAGUUGAUCAGUUGGUUGUUGCUUAUAGAAGAUCAAAAGGCGUUUUAGAGAAGAUCUUGAGGAUGAGAGGCUUGAAGUUGCUCUUCAACAACAAUCAAUGUGUGAGACACCACAUCCCUAGGCCCAAAGUGGAGUCGAAAGGGUGCCACAUGGUAGUGGUCGAAGUGAAAGCCAAACGAGCAUAACACGUUUGGACUAAAAGCUCCAACUUCAAAGGUCAAGAUCGAGAGUGGAACUCCCAAUGAAGUUCUUGAAGAACAAGUACGAAGCAAGCAAUAAGUGAGUCUCUAGAAAAGGGACACAAGAGGACCAAAACAUGACAUGAGAUGGAGUCCGAGAUGGACUUGAGAUGGAGUCCGAGAUGGAGUACGAGAUGGACUGAGAUGAACCAAAACGGAGUUCGAGAUGGAGUCCAAGAUGGAGUCCGAGAUGGACCCGAGAUGGAGUCUGAGAUGGACCGAGAUGGAGUCCGAGAUGGACUCGAAAUGGAGACUUGUAGUGCCGGCUCAGCGGGUCACCGAGGGCGUUUACAAAUCGUUGCAGCUUGUGCAUGCCAAUGUAUCCCAUAGCACUGGACGAUUGUAAAGUUAGUUCCACAAGGACUUGAACGUAAGUAAGUGGCUUACUUGGGAUCGAAUGGUUCUUGGCUCCACAAGUUUCGAUAUGCUAACAGGUGCUCCGGCAUAACCAUAGAGUUCUCGUUCAAAAGGCCGAAGGUUACAGCAUCCAGUAUGACAGCCACGAACAAGUUCAUGAAUAUGUGACUCCCGACCAAGACCAAGAAGGUGAAGAAGAUAGUCCCGCCCUCUGGAUAGCCACAAUCAUCACCGAGUAGUGUUUUACCGUUGGUGCAGGC
rnacentral:lncRNA from 1 species